rnacentral:lncRNA from 1 species
AUUUUUUUCUUUUAUAUUGUGUAACCCAAAGCGCAUUCCUUUAAGAAUGUAUCUGGUUCCAUUUUUCUUUCGUUAGUUAAGCCACCUUUUUCUAAAAGGGAUUGUAGUAAUUCUGUUUUUAUACUCUUUAAAAUGGCUCUCUCAUAUUGAGAAAUUCUGUCUAGUGGCAUUCGAUCACAGAAUCCAUUGACAGCUGCAUAAAUGACUAAAAUUUGUUUUUCAAUUGGAAGUGGUGAGCUCCCUAGCUUGUAUUGAUGUUAAGGGGUAAGGCCUUUAUGUCCCCCCCUUGUCUUUUCUUUUUUUGCNAUCUAUAUUGCUUACCACAGCUCUAUUCCCGACUUGAAAUCCAUAACGGACUUUAAGAGAGGAUGAACAUUCCCGUUCUAUAGGUAGCACUGCCCCUAUUAGAUUAGAGAAGGGUGAGGGCCCACUUCCUUCUGAUCUGCUAGCACUGUGAAUUACCUUAGACCUACGCAGCAGGAACGAGAUGGAGCACCUACUCUACUGGUCGUCUGCUCUCUCGAGGUCGUCCUUAUCUAGGUACAAAAAGGACAUUACGGGAUAUCUCCAAAAUUCGAUGUACUUCGUGCAGGACACAUCUCAUGUUUGCCGAAUCUAAAAACCAUCGCCUUUGCAUCCAAACACUUCACGGCGGCUAUGAUCAGAUCCCAGUGUUGGUUCACUUUUGACUUUAUCCUCCACCAAAUCUUCUGAUCUCCCGUUCUCAAUGAUGUUAAGCAGCUCCUGAUCGCAGCAAUCAUGCCUUCGAAGGUACGUUUUUUUCAUUCGGGGUCUUACCUUGGGGAUAGACGAUGGACCCGCCAUUCGACAUGAUGCAACAUUUUGAAAGGAAAUUCCAUCAAAUAAAAGGAGUUUACAUUUCUGACAUCUCUUGACACCCUUAAUUUUAAUAAGUCCAAAAUUGACUAAGGACAGAAGCAAGCUACAAGCAUUAGCAACCGCUUUCGUUUAAUCUUUUGGAAAAAAAAAAUAAGCAGCGAAGAAAACAAGGCAGUAAGUUGUUGCGCUAACUCGCCAGCUCAGUAGCUUCAGUCUUCUACUACUAGUCUAAUUGGUAAUUAAAUUAUGCUCCAGUCUCUUAUUCAUCCGUAUCAGAAGCUUGGGGAUCAUGCUCUCAUGCUAUCGGUCCGAAGGUAGGCUCAAGCUAAGAUUCUGCUUGUGAGCGUAAUGGUAUAAGCCUGCCUGACUGUGAGACCGAUUGGUCGAACAAAGACGAAAGUCGGCCAUAGUGAUCCGGGAGUCCCGUGUGGAAGGGCUCUCGCUUAGCGGAUCAAAGGUACGCCGGGGAUAACAGGCUGAUGACUCCCAAGAGCUCUUAUCGACGGAGUCGUUUGGCACCUCGAUGUCGACUCAUCACAUCCUGGGGGCCUGGUGAAUUCAACCUUAACGUACCCGGGUAGUACACCUGGAACAAGAAGGUUCGUCGUACAAUUUCGGCGAUUACAAAAAGAAAGGAGUGUAUCCCUCUCCCUCAGUGUCUUUCCACUUCCGUCGUUCAGGAACAAACACUUCUGCUUACUGCUAUGCCAUGGUUGAAGCUUUAGGCUCCAUAGACGGAACUAUGUAUUAGGUAUUAGGGAGGGGAGGACACCACUCAGCACCCCACGGAGCGGUGGGGUUCAAUGCCUAAAAAAAAAGAAAAAAGGGGGGAAAGAUGACUCUAUGGCUGAGGGGAGGAGAGAAAGAACGCAUGCUUGGAUAUUCUGUCUGUCGGAGGUUCGAUAAUCUAUGAAAGGACAUCUAAAGCGGAAUGCCAGGCGGAGGAGUGUAACUGCCUUAUCGCGCUACCCAACUUGUAUGUGAAAAGCAUUUCGUACUCGUAACCGAUCCCUUCCUAGCGAAAGGUGUGCUCCAAUGAAAAGUACACAACACUAGUAGUGCCCCUUUUGACGACCAAGUCACAAUGGAAACAAUGUAUCUCUCUGGGGAUGUGAAGAAUAUUUGAAAGCACUUUCGAACCAUCAGGGAUCUUUUGUUUGCUCCGCAAGGUAGCCAGAGCCAGCCAAUUUUUCACUAAAUAGGCAUAAGAGUAUUUGAACUGUAGAAAAGUAGUGCGGAGAACUAGUCAGAAUUGGGCUUGCCAUCCAAUUCGUGACGUGGAUGAUCCGCCGAAUCCAUUGCUGACUUCACCACGAUCGAUUAAGUGAAACGGUUCUACAAAGUUUGUUUGUUCAUACAGGCAACAUGGUUAUAGUAGUUGCCAGCCAUGCAAUUCGUACUGCAUGGAGAGAUUCCUCUACCACUCUAUAAAUGGAGUCUCGAUAAGUGUCUUCACUUUAUCAAAUUCAAAUCAAAGAAAUUGAGUACUUGCACGUAUGGCUAUGGAUGCUGCAAACAGGUAGCUUGCUUACCAAGCCACCCACUUGAGAAGCUAGUCGCUAGAAAAAAGCGACGAGGAAGCGAAGCUGUCUACGAAGCUUUGCUUCUCCCCUUGUAGUCGUAAUACUAGGCUUGUCGCUACUUUGAUUCAAAAGGUAACCGAUGGUUCCCGACUUUCUCUUGUUUCCGCAACUGUAACCAUUUUUCCGAUUACAUAGCUCUCUCCUUUGGUACUCAAUUGGGUAUAUUCCGUAGUGAGAUAAGGAAUUCAAUCGUAUAUGGUAUUGUACAAAUACAGUAUGGCAGNGCAAAACCUCUUUUGUUUCGAGAUGCGAAGAAUCAUAUCCCAAAACUAAGAAGGAAUCAAGCUGCAAACUUUCCUCCUCAGAUGAGGCUUAGUUCAGCUAGCCCUAGACAGAUCACAUCUCAUUAGAAAGGUAUUGAAUUCUCAUUAGAAAAAGGGCUUCCCAGAAGAAAGAAUUGAAUUAGCUAAGUCAGUAAGAAUGACUAGGACCUAGCACAAUACGUUCUUUGAUUCGACAUUCCCGGUCAAAGCAUUGAUUCUAAGCCUUUCGUUAGCUCGUUACUUCAGGGUAUUCUCAAAUACUUUUCGGUAGGAGAACUCUUCGUAUUACGUACGGAUAGUACUACUACUCUUUGUUAUCCACGUAGUAUCUUCGUAACAACCACACUAGCCAAGUGGAUCAACNACUAGGGACCCCUCUUUCUAAGUUUGGUAGUCUCUCAUCUAUAGAGCUGGGUAGAAGGAAUGUACCGAACGAAGUUGCUAAAGGCUGGCAUCCAUCCUUCCAUUUGAUCAAAAGAGCGUCAAGCAGCCCCAACUCUAGCUCCGUAGAGCAGGAGAAUGCUCAGGUCCGUCUACGUGUGAUUCCUCAUUUUCUUCCUAAAACGUGAGGUGAGCUGCUGAUUCUACUCUUGGAGUUACUCAAUAUAAUGCUUCCUGAAAAGGAUUUGAACCAAGAAAAGAAGAAAAUACCAUAGUAGAUCUAUGAUUAGCCCUCGGUCGGGAUGGUCCUGUCGAAGAACUUUAUUCAUGCAGAGAAAGACACUUAGGAUAGGAGACUUAUGGAUGCAGGGUCUGCAAGUGAAACCCCAAAACCUAAAAUCCCCUAAUGCCUAUCAAAUAAGAGUCCUACCGGAGAUCAGGUGUCAAAGGUGUCUAGGAUUUAUCCCAAAAGUAAGUAGGAGUGCUCUUCCAUUCAAGCCUUCAGCCUUACAGUCUAUAGACCUUACCUCACAAAUCUUUUCUCUCGGGAUUGAGUUGCUGUAUCUGUAGUAGCAUUCCCUCUAGUCACCUAGAAAGAGGAAAAUUGCCAGUUUAGUUCCAUCUCCUUGAGUUUCAAUUGGAAUGCUAGGGUAAGUCCCAAAGUCCUAAGUUCUUCCUUUCAAUAAAAGUAGUAGGGCUAACGAUAUUUCUUUAGCUUAAUGCUAGGCGUAUAGAUAGGUUUCUGGAUCUCGAGAUUAGUUUCAUUUCUCUGGCUAGGAAUAAGCAAAAAAACAAGGAAAGCGGAUUCUCUUCUCGGGUAAGCAGUGCUCUCUUUCGCAUAAGCCCUUUCUUAAGUAAGGUGGUGGCGCUCUUUAUCAGCUACUUUCCUGAAGGACUCUCGCCUAGUUCUGAAACUCUUCCCGCAGCCUUGCCCUUAUUGCCCUGCCUACCUCGGCAGGCAUACCCCGGAACCAAUUCAUCAGUAUGCUCUUUAUGAUCUUGGAUUAUGAUUCAAUUGCCAUGUAUUUAGCUAUUGAGCCUCAAAGUUUAUGUUUUUAUGUGAUCGCAACAUCNGAGUGGGUAAGAGAGGUGCUUGGUCUGUCUCCGAAUGUGGGCCUAGAAGCAUUAGCCGAGUCUCUGAAUAUUCCCGAGGGUUCUCAGGAUAAAGACAGCCUUAAGGUGCUAACGGAGCUUCCACGGUCUCAGUCCAUGAAGGUGCUUGCUUUAUUGGUUGGCAGCUUGGUUAUAGUCGUUAUGAAGAAUGAAGGAGCGACGAAGGAGCUCACUUCCACGACAUGGGAAAGGAUCAUGGGAUGAGGAAAAGAAAGAAAAGGUGCAAGGUGAGGAGAUAUCGAGAGGUAGAAUAGGUGAAAUGAGUUCAAAGGAAUUAGUUAAGACACGCUUCUUUAGCACAGGCCACGGAGUGAAGUUGGAAGGUUCAAUGAACUACGCGAAGGGGAAAUCUUGGGCGCUAUUGUUGUCUAUAUACAAGUGGCGUAGGCGAAGCUGUGGCGACUCGUGGAGUAGACAGCGAGCUCCGCUUGAACAGAAAGCAGCAAGCUGCAAGCACUACUCCAAAAGCAGUGAGCUCCGCAACAAAAGCGAAGCGAGCCGCGGUAGCCUAUUAAGUUUUUCAGCUGCAUCGUACCGUACUAUGGGAGGGGUCCGUACCUCCUUUAGAUAGAGCCCCCCUGCUCCUAAUGUAGAGCUAGAACUACUGCUACCGUGGAAUCCGCGGUCACACAUAAGUAUCUCGCCUUCCAAAAAAAGCGGCUGCUAAUUAGCACUAAUGCUAAUGGGGACCAUCGAUCAAGAAGGACUUCGGAGACUGCAAUCGAAUUGAUCAAAAAAGAGAAAUAGGGCCAACUCUUCUAGUUGCGCCUCUAACCUUCAAGGGCCUCAUGUAGGGGCGGAAGCUAAGAGGGGCCAUGACCUCCCAGGUUUUAAGGCUCCUAAUACUUUAUAUAUUUUACCCCAUAACAUCAAUCUAAUCAAUCUUUUACUUUUGAUUUGACAUCAUUUUUUUACUUUUUCUUUUACUUUUUUUACUCUUUUUUUCAUUUUCAUUUUUGUUUUUUCUUUUAUUAUUAUUAUUAUUAUUAUUAUUAUUAUUAUUAUUAUUAUUAUUAUUAUUAUAAAUUUCGAUAACAAUAUAAAAUUCGGACNNNNNNNNNNNNNNNNNNNNNNNAAUUUCAUCCGAAUUUUAAAAUGUUGUCCGAAUUUUAUAGUGUUAUCGAAAUUUAUAAUAAUAAUAAUAAUAAUAAUAAUAAUAAUAAAUAAAUAAAUAAAUAAAUAAAUAAAUAAAAAAUAAAAAAAAAAUAGGAAAAAAAACGACAAAAGACAAAAAAGUUACAUCGGAGGUGGAGUUGGAAAAGAAGAGGAGGUACUUGUAGCAUUAACCUUAUAUAUAGACAAAACUUCAAAAAUGGUCCCUGUGGUUUUCGAAAAUAUCAAGUUUAGUCCCUAAGUUCAAAAAACCUCACAGAUGGUCCCUGUGAUUUCAAAACUUUUAACAAAUGGUCAUUUUCGCUAACACCGUUAACAUUUAACCGUUAAGUGAAGGGCAUUUCAGUCAUUUUACCACCACAGGGACCAUUUAUGAAGUUUGCCUUAAUUUUUUUUUUUAAAAAAAAAAGAAAAAAAAAUAUUUAAUAUUAAAGGGCCCCACCUCCCUCUCUCUUUCCCCCUCUCUCUCUCUCUCUCUCUCUCUCUCUCUCUCUCUCUCUCUCUCUUUCUCGUAAACAUUGCAUCUACAGCUUCAGUUUCAACUUCACACACAUCCAAAUUCACCACCAAUGAUCCUCUUCUAGCUCGUAGCCAAUCUCCAACUUCACUAGUCACAUUCUUGCACUUCUUUACCUUGAUCUUCACCAAAUUAGGACAACCCCAAGCAAAAGCUUCGAUUCCUUCAUCUGAUACUGGACACCCUUUUAUACAGAGCUUCUUCAAAGCAACACAUUUUGAUGUUAUGCCUGAAAUCUCCCCAUCAGCUAUUGUUUCGCUUCCACAUAGAGCUAAUCUUUCUAGCUUUUGACAGUUUGUAGCGAUUGCUUCUAGGCUUGCUGAGUUAGGGUUGCCCCAAUUAGAACAAGUUCUUGAAGGUUUACACUGUGUUUAGCAAUUGCUGUCAAACCGUCGUUUCCUAUCAUGUUUGUUCUCCAUCCAUCAAUGUGAAGCUUUCUUAAGUACUUACAGUGCUCAGCAAUGGCGACAACCCCAGUAUUUGUGCAUUCUGGUGUCUUGACGAUGUGUAGAAUUUCCAAUUUGGAGCAAUUAGAGAGGGAUGAAAGCCCAACAUCGGUUACCUGUAGUCUCUCCAGAUGAAUUUCAACCAAACAACUAUCUGCAGUCGCUAUCGUCUCCAAUAACCUAUCCCAAUCGCCUAAGCAUCGGAGCAAUUUCAACGUUUUCAGUUUUUUUGCACCGCUAGUUAAAGGUCCGAAGAAAUGGCCGUUGUAUAGCUCCUUAAGACAUAUACUUUUGAGCGAGGAAGCCGCCGCCCCUGGCCCAAUCGGCUCCGCUGCUCCUCUGUUGUUGAUGCCUCUUAAUCAUUUAACAGACAGCUCCUCGACAUAAGAACAACUAUCGAGGAGGGCGUUUAUGCCUUUAGCACUGAACAUGCAAGAUCCACAAGAGAAUUUCUUCAAACCCUUGCAGUUUUUCGCUAAGCCGGCCAUACCUACAUCAGUUGCAGGUGAAGAAUGGGAAGAAGAUGAUAGGGUAGGUGGGUUUUUUGAUCUUACGAAAGAGAGAGAGAGAGAGAGAGAGAGAGAGAGAGAGAGAGAGAGAGAGNNNNNNNNNNNNNNAGAGAGAGAGAGAGAAAGAGAGAGAGAGAGGUGGGGCCCUUUAAUAUUAAAUAAUUUUUUUCCUUUUUUUUUUUCUUAAAAAAAUUAAGGCAAACUUCAUAAAUGGUCCCUGUGGUGGUAAAAUGACUGAAAUGCCCUUCACUUAACGGUUAAAUGUUAACGGUGUUAGCGAAAAGGACCAUUUGUUAAAAGUUUUGAAACCACAGGGACCAUCUGUGAGGUUCUUUAAACUUANNNNNNNNNNNNNNNNNNNNNNNNNNNNNNNNNNNNNNNNNNNNNNNNNNNNNNNNNNNNNNNNNNNNNNNNNNNNNNNNNNNNNNNNNNNNNNNNNNNNNNNNNNNNNNNNNNNNNNNNNNNNNNNNNNNNNNNNNNNNNNNNNNNNNNNNNNNNNNNNNNNNNNNNNNNNNNNNNNNNNNNNNNNNNNNNNNNNNNNNNNNNNNNNNNNNNNNNNNNNNNNNNNNNNNNNNNNNNNNNNNNNNNNNNNNNNNNNNNNNNNNNNNNNNNNNNNNNNNNNNNNNNNNNNNNNNNNNNNNNNNNNNNNNNNNNNNNNNNNNNNNNNNNNNNNNNNNNNNNNNNNNNNNNNNNNNNNNNNNNNNNNNNNNNNNNNNNNNNNNNNNNNNNNNNNNNNNNNNNNNNNNNNNNNNNNNNNNNNNNNNNNNNNNNNNNNNNNNNNNNNNNNNNNNNNNNNNNNNNNNNNNNNNNNNNNNNNNNNNNNNNNNNNNNNNNNNNNNNNNNNNNNNNNNNNNNNNNNNNNNNNNNNNNNNNNNNNNNNNNNNNNNNNNNNNNNNNNNNNNNNNNNNNNNNNNNNNNNNNNNNNNNNNNNNNNNNNNNNNNNNNNNNNNNNNNNNNNNNNNNNNNNNNNNNNNNNNNNNNNNNNNNNNNNNNNNNNNNNNNNNNNNNNNNNNNNNNNNNNNNNNNNNNNNNNNNNNNNNNNNNNNNNNNNNNNNNNNNNNNNNNNNNNNNNNNNNNNNNNNNNNNNNNNNNNNNNNNNNNNNNNNNNNNNNNNNNNNNNNNNNNNNNNNNNNNNNNNNNNNNNNNNNNNNNNNNNNNNNNNNNNNNNNNNNNNNNNNNNNNNNNNNNNNNNNNNNNNNNNNNNNNNNNNNNNNNNNNNNNNNNNNNNNNNNNNNNNNNNNNNNNNNNNNNNNNNNNNNNNNNNNNNNNNNNNNNNNNNNNNNNNNNNNNNNNNNNNNNNNNNNNNNNNNNNNNNNNNNNNNNNNNNNNNNNNNNNNNNNNNNNNNNNNNNNNNNNNNNNNNNNNNNNNNNNNNNNNNNNNNNNAUUUCUGUGAAGAAAUAGACUCUUCACAAUCUUAUAUUAAUAUUAUUUAUUGUUUUUAAAACUUGUGGUAAUGUGGUAUGCAAAUAUGUAAACUAUGAACGAUUAUGCUUGUAUAUGAGUGUAAUUGAAACUAAUUAAAACCAUAGUAUAUUGUUUAUUUAGGUUCUAAUAUAAUAAAGAAAAGCAGUAACUUAUAUUCUUAUACUGUGAAGAAAUAGACUCUUCACAAUCUUAUAUUAAUAUUAUUUAUUGUUUUUAAAACUUGUGGUAAUGUGGUAUGCAAAUAUGUAAACUAUGAACGAUUAUGCUUGUAUAUGAGUGUAAUUGAAACUAAUUAAAACCAUAGUAUAUUGUUUAUUUAGGUUCUAAUAUAAUAAAGAAAAGCAGUAACUUAUAUUCUUAUAAAAACAUAAUUGUUUGAUAUAAUAUAUUUGUUAGUUGUUAUUUUAUUUUGGUAUGAUAUUUUCAUUUAUUUAUUAAUUAUUUAUGUAUUUCAUAUCAACAUAAAAAAACAAUCAACUAUUGACGGGUAAGAAACGUGUCAAUUCUUUUCAAUAUCCUGAAAAUCAAUCAGAGAUUGUUUUAGAUGAAAAUACUCUACCGUCUAGUAUUACUGUUGCGGUAAACCCAACAUCUAGUAUUCCUGUUGCGGAAAACUCAUCCAAAAAAGUUCAACUUGAAGCAAAUGAAAUUUAUCUUAAUACAGUCGAACGAGAUCCCGGUUUGCGUAUGCAAAUUUAUGAUAAUCCAAUUAAUCAACGAGAUUGCAUCCGCCGAGCAUAUAUAAAUCUUGGUCCCUUUCAACCGAAACUUCCGGUAAAUCUUAGAAACCCAUAAACGCAACUUUCAAGUUUCUUUGUUUAAGUUAUUUCCUUGGCUUGAAUAGUCAAAGAGUUGAGAUACUGCAUUUUGUUUCCCAUGUUUUAUAUUUAACAAACCUUCUGGAAUGGGACAAUACGGCCAACGAGCAUUUACUAUAGAUGGUUUUCAGAAUUGGAAGAAAGUGAGUAGGAUAAAAUGUGUCUUUUUGAAUCAUAUGGGGAGUAAGUGUACAUCUUUUCACAAAAUUGCACAAAAAUAUAUGAUGAUUUUUUGAAUGACGCACAAGAUAUACGAAAUGUGUUUGAAAAGUUUACAGAUGAAGAUCGUAAGAAUAAUAGUCUCAGAUUGAUGAAUAUUAUUUUUUCAGUUCGCUGGUGUGCCUUUCACGCAGUUCCAUUUAAAGGUCAUGAUGAAAGCUCAAAUUCCAUCAACAAAGGAAAUUUUCAUGAAAUGUUAAAGGCAAUUAGCUUUUAUAACAACGAGAUGAAAGAACUCUUUCAGACUGCUCCUAAAUAUGCAUUAUAUACAUCACCGUCAAUUCAAAAAGAGAUUCUAAACCUUAUGUCAACUAGGGUGAAGCAAAUGAUUUGUAAGGAGAUUGAUGGUGGAAAAUUUUGUUUACUUGUUGAUGAAGCACGUGAUGAGUUUAAAAAAAAAACAAAUGUCAAUUAUUUUGAGAUUUGUAAAUAAAGAUGGUGUUAUUGUGGAGCGUCUUUUUGGACUAGGUCAUCUACCAGACACUACAUCACAAACUCUUAAGAAUGGAAUCUAUUCAAUAUUGUCAUAUAACAAUCUUGAUUUUAAAUCAAUUCAUGGCCAAGGGUAUGAUGGUGCAAACAAUAUGCGAGGUCGGUUCAAGGGUUUUCAAGCAUUGAUUUUAAAAGAUAGUCCAUAUGCCUAUUAUAUUCAUUGUUUUGCUCAUCGAUUACAGUUAGCAUUAAUGGCCGCAUCACAAGGAGUUGUUGCGGUGCAAACAUUUUUUACUAAGUUAUCUUAUGUUAUUAAUGUUGUCGGUGCUUCCUCCAAGUGUACUGACCAACUAAGAUAUGCAUAAGCUGAGCAAAUUGCGUAUAUGAUUUCUAUUGAUGAGUUAGAGACAGGUAGAGGUCUAAUACAGAUGGAGUUCUCACCUCAAAUUGAUUUCGAGUUUAAUCAAGGUGUUUAGUCCUACUUGCGAGGUUUUACUUAAAAUUAUUAAGGAGGGAACUGGUUCAAUCAAAGGGGAUGCAGAUUCAACAUAUGAGAUUAUUACUACAUUUGAGUUCUUUUUUGUUUUGCAUCUCGUGAAGGAAAUAAUGGAGAUAACUGAUUUACUUUGUCAAGCUUUACAAAGACAAUCUCAAGAUGUUUGCAAUGCAUUGAAGUUAGUUGCAUCCACCAAAGAACUUUUGGAAAAAAUGAAAAUGAAAGAUGGGAUGGUUUGCUCUCUCUUAUUAAUUCAUUUUGUCAGGACUGCGAGAUUGAUAUCCCUGAUUGAUUUAUCUUCUGCCUACUUUAGCAGAGGGGCUCGAGCUCGUAAGGAGCAUAGCGAUCAUACACUUGAACAUCAUUACUGAGUGGAUAUCUUUUACGAAACCAUUAAUUGUCAAUUAAUAGAAUUGAAUCACUGGUUUAAUGAUAGCUAAAUGGAGUUGCUUCAACUUUCUGCAACUUUAAAUCCUAAAAGUGUUAAUGAGACUUUUCAAAAUGGUGAUGUAUGCCGGUUAGUGGAGAAGUUUAUCCUAAAGAUUUCAAUGAACAAGAGAAAUUACUUUUGAAUAUGCAACUUCAACAGUAUGAGUUUGAUGUCGUUAAACACGCAAAUUAUAAACUAUUGACAUCUAUUUCGGAGUUGUAUCAAUGGUUGAUAAAGACAAGAGGAGUGGCUAAUUUUCAUCUUAUUUAUCGAGUAGCUAGUCUCAUACUUACUCUUUCCGGUUUCCACUGCUACAAAAGAGAGAUCAUUUUCAGCGAUGAACCUUAUUAAAACAAGUUUAUGUAAUAAAAUGGAAGAUGAGUUUUUGAACGACUCACUGAUUUUGUACUUUGAAAGGGAGCUUGUCGAAACGAUUAGUCUAGAAACAAUUGUGUAAGAUUUCAAAAAUGCAAAAGAUCGAUGAGUUCCACUUUGAAGUGCGAUGUAACAAUAUUUAUUAUUAGUUUUCUUGUUUCGAAUUUUGAUGUCAUAAUUUUGAAUCAAUUUUUUGUCUAUAUGGUUUUGUUUUGAAGCUUUAAUUUCGGCUCCCUAGCUAUAGUGUUUGUGUUCCGCCCAUGGCCUCAUGUUAAAAAAAAAAAAAAACAAAAUUGUCGCCCUCGUUUACUAAUUUUUUUUUAUGUGAGGGCCUCAUUUAUUAUUUGGUUUCAGCCCUUGUGGUAUGAUGCAAGUCUUAAACUCGAUGCAGUCUCUAAGUUUAUGUUUGCUUUUCUUAAUUCUACAAUGAAAGGAGCUUCAAUCUUUACUGCAAAUGUAAGGUUUUCUAGCAUAUAUCUUUUUAUCAAGUGACCAAGCAUCUAAUUAUGUGUAUUACAACUUCAAAUAAUAAAAACAUAUGAAAACACGAUAGUUCCCUAGUGUUUAUUUUAUUAGAGCUGAUUACUUUUUUUUAUUAUAUAUCAAAAGCCGAUAGUACCAUAUAUUACAACACCAAACAAUUACAACUUUAUAUGGAUAGUAAUUAGUAAACAUGGUACUAAAAAGCUUUAUUUUAUUAUAUCAUAUCUUUCAAGAACAAGCAACAUCCAUCAUACGAUGCUCAAACACAAGUCAAUGUGAAGAGUUUGUCGAAUGCAAUAACCACAGCUUCACGAUACGAUGCUUCGUAAGGUGGUUGUACCCGAACCACAAGACAGUCAACCGAACUGAAUGUCUCAUGGAUCCCAAUAUUACAUAACACAAGCCUCCUUGUCUCAAAAGAACACAUAUUAAAGAUGGCAGAAACAAGUCCAUUUUCACGUGCCACAUUGUAUCCAACACGCGACACCACAUAGUUGAGUAAUUGGUGACACGUUGUAGCAAUGUCUUUUGAUGUGGCAUGGAGAAUAAAUGUUCUCACAAGACUUUGAUGAUCUAGUGCUUCAAAUGGUUUGAUGCACCCGCAACAUGCACGUUGAUAGUCCAAUAAAAUCAUGCCCCAAAACCACGGGUCGUUAACUAGGAGAGCCUGCCACACACACACACACCGACUAUGUGUUAUAUUUGUUUCUGUAAGGGUUAAAGUUUCAAAUUACAAUGCCUUAAUGAUAAUAAAAAAUGCAUUUUUUUUUGUCCCCGAGUACAACUGUUUUUUGCAAAUUUGGUCCCAAUAAGCUCUCUUGCAAUUUUGGUCCUUAUUUGAGAUUCUCUUAGCUUUUUGGAACCAAUAUGGCAAGAGACCUUGUUGGGACCAAAAAUGAAAGAGAGAACUUUUGGGGACUAAAAUGGUAGUUUAUUCUAAAAAAAAUGGAAGUAAAUUUGUGUAACAACUAGGAAUGAAAAUACAACGCAUAAUACACAAAUAAAUUUACGAUGCAUUGUUAUUUCUAGCAUUUUUCAUUUUUCGUAAUCAUAUCAAUUAGAGUUGUUACUUAGCUAUGAAGUUCUAAAAAUAAAAUUAAAAAGAGAUAGUUUUGUGGGCCCCUUUUACAACCUGCUUUGAAAAUUUACCCCUUCGACCCAAACCCACCCACUUGCCCAUAUUAAGCCGCCUAUAAAUGCUGAAAGAAAACAAUUUGUGAAGUUGUGCAAAAUGGUUACCUUUCCCACAAUGGACCGGGCAGCACGAUUUCCAGCUCGGGCAGACAUACAAAGGAGAUCCUUUUCAUGAUGGUGCAUCAUAUAAUCAAUGGCAGUAAAAGUCAAACGCUGGAAAUUGACCACCUUUAAAACGACUAGUUGUCUAGUCUCGGUCAGAAGCAUAUUACAUCUGCAAAAAGUUUGCAAUGAAAUCAUUUUGAUUAAAUUAAUCCGAUUAGCAUUAUCAAGAUCAAUAAGGUAGUGUUUGGUAUGAUGGAAUCAGAAAAGAAAUGGAAUGAAUAUGUGAUGGAAUCAGUAAGGAGCGGAAUGGAAUAUUCUUUCCAUUGGAACAAAAAAAAAAACAAGUCUUUUGCCUAAUGGAAUAGAAUGGACGAUUCUUGAGGGAAUGCGAGUCCUUCCAUUUCAUUAAUUUUCAUUCCUUGGGAAUGGAAUGAAAAAUUGUAUUAUCAACCCUUUUUUAUUAAUAUCAUUUUUACUGGCGCGUGAUUUAUUAAAAAAUUCAUUAAGUUUCAGUUUUAUAAUCUACAAAUAAAUGGAAUAUAUAUAUAUAUANNNNNNNNNNNNNNNNNNNNNNNNNNNNNNNNNNNNNNNNNNNNNNNNNNNNNNNNNNNNNNNNNNNNNNNNNNNNNNNNNNNNNNNNNNNNNNNNNNNNNNNNNNNNNNUAUUUACUUAUAGUCUUAUUUUGGUUUUAAUGAGCUUUUAUUGUGUGUUGAUUAGUUUUGUAAUUAAAAAAAUAGUUAUUAUAAUCAAAUGAUAAAGAGUAGAGUUAAGCUAUACACCAUAUUUACACAUAAUACAAAAAAUUCAUAUGAAAAAUUAUUUCACUUCAAGAUGCCAGCCAAACAUGAUUAUAAAGUGUAAUGAAUCAUUCCAUUCCAUCCAACCUUACAGACCUUAAAAGAAAUAACACUGAAAACUUACACUGCUCCCACUCUUGCCAAGUCUCUCGCACCAUCACUUGACAUUGCUAUUGCGACCAAUAUCACAUCCAAAAUAUGCAAGGGUAAAUCCGUAAUAUGCGCCAUCUUAUUUUUCAAAUUGCUAAUAAGACCAAGAUCAUAUUCAAAACAAGUAAAAAAUUUGUGAAAGAGGAAAACUUAAGGUAAGUGACAUUUCUCCCCAAUUUCCUUUUUAAAAACAAAUCUAGUUACAUAUUCUUCGAAAAAAUUAAAAUAUACAAAAAUUUGGACUAAACAAAGUUGUGUAUCAGUCUAUGUAAAAGAAACAAUAAAAACUAGAAAUUAACUAUUUAUUGGAUUACCAUAUACAUUCCAUAGAAAGCUUUAUAGAAAAUCUAAGAUGAUUGAAACAAAAACUGUUCAUCUAGUUAAGGAAAAAUCAUAAUCUCACCGAUAGAUGUAAGAAAAUGGGAACAAAUUUACCUGAAGAAGUUGUAAAUUUCAGAGAGACACCGCUAAGGUGACGAAACAACUCCGUCAUGUAGAAGAACUCUCACAAAAACUAUAUUUAAAUAAACAUAAGGUAGUUCAAAAUGAGUCAAUGACUAUACAUUAAUAUCUAUUAUGCCCAACUAAACGAAAUAAAUGUGCUUCUUAUAAAUGAGAUUCAAGUGAAUUUGUUUAUUUGCAUCUUGCUAGUUUUUAAUAAAAUUCUCUUCGUUCCAAAAAGAAAAAAAGUAGAGGUGUUCAAAAGUUUUGGUAUUAGAGCAUCCAUAACUAUGAACCAUACCCUUAUUAAACAUUAAAAUAUCAUAUUUACUCUUCAUAAAAUUUUAAAAUAUCGUAUAUAUCAUUUUUAAACAUCAAAAUAUCAUAUAUGUCUUUAAUAAAUAUCAAAAUAUCAUAUAUGCUCUUCUUAAACAUCAAAAUGUUAAUGGUAAUAUCUAAAAUAUCAUCCAUCUACAACAUGAUAAUAAUCAACAACAACAAAAAAUAAGCAAUCAAUGUAUACAUUAGCUGCAACCUGUAGGGUUUACACAUUUUUUAUUUAAUACAUUAUACUUAUACUACCAUAGUUUUUGUAAUCAUAUAUAAGACAUCACCUAUUUAUAAGAUUAAAGAAAGACGGGCAACAAAGAAUUUUCAUUACGUACCCGAGAAUUUAAUGGUGGCAAUUUUAAUCCAUUUACCUAAAACAUGGGUCAAUUUCAGUUAUAUAUUACCUCUCAUUAUAACUACCUCCAACAAGUGAUCAAUGGCUCAAAAGUCGCCCAAAGUGUAUCGAAAUGCUUACAAUAUCCUAAAUUGAUUUAUCUAUAUCUUUAUCUUUAUCUUUAUCUUUAUCUUUAUAUCUUUAUAUACUUAUAAAGGAAGCAUUUUUCCUUUAACCACAUUCAUUUGAAACUCCCAUAUAUUUUUUCUUUCACCACAUUCAUUUGAAACUCCCAUGACUUUUCAAUUUCUUUCAAAUAAUAAUUACAAGUUGUUUAAUAAGGUUAAAUAAAUAUCAAACCUAAAGUGUAAUCAUAUAUAAACUAAAUUUCAAUAUUAAAAUAAUAUAUUUACUUCUAUUUAUAAAGUUAUGUUUGUUAACUUUUAGCAUAUUAUAAUUAAUUUAUUAGUUUUAAUAUAUUGUUGGAUGUAAACCAUUAUCAUUUUAAAGAUACAAUUUUGGAGCAAUUUGUAUAAAAUAUUUAAAUUAUUAAUUUAUGCAUAACAUUACAGAGUCAGCUUAUAUAUAAAUUUUAGUUUAACUUAAACAAACCAGAAAAUAUUUUAUAAAUAGUUAAAAGUGAUCAAAUGUAGUGUCUUUCUAAUAAUGAUUAUAAGUUGAUUAAUAGGGUUAAAUAAAUAUCAAACCUAAAGUGUAAUCACAAAUAAACUAAAUUUUAAUUUUAAAAUAAUAUUUUUACUUCUACUUAUAAAGUUAUGCCUUUAACUUUUAACAUAUUAUACUUAAUUUAUUAGAUUUAAAAUGUUGUGUAUGUAAACCAUUAUCAGUUUAAAGAUACAACUUUUGAACAGUUUAGACAAAAUACUUAAAUUGCUAAUUUAAAUAUAACAUUAUAGUGUUAACUUAAAUAUAAAUUUCAGUUCCACUUAAAAAACCAAAGAAUAUUUUGUAAAUAGUUAAAAGUGAUAAAAUGUAGUGAUAAAUGCAAAAACUAAAUUGGAAUCUCAAUUUAACUAAAUAAUUUCCUAAAUAUUAUUAUAAUCGUUAAAAUCUUUCAAAUAAAUAGCUUAAAAUAUCUUAUAAUAAUAAUAGUUAAAAAUAAAUCUAUAUAAAUGAUUAUAUUGUUACCUUUAAAAUCAAAAAACAAUGUUUGAUGUUUUAAAUAAUUAUAAUAACAAAAAUUAAAACAAUAAGCAAAUAAAUUUAAUAAAUUUGAUCAACAAUAACAACAACUAUAAAUAAUAUUAAACCAUAUAUUAUAUUUAAUUUUGUUCAUUUGUAACUCGCGUGUAGAAGUCAUUCAAACAAUUGACAUUAUCCAGUUAUAAUAGAUGUAUAUAUUAUCAUAUAAUUCAAAAUAAUCAAUAUAUUAUAUCAAUUUAGUAUACGAAUUAUUAUAUCAAAUUUAACAACAACGUUAUUAUUAUAUUAAAAAAAACAUAUAUUUGUAAAGACUUCAACUAUAUAGGUUUUUCUGCGCAACACGCGGACAUUCGCCUAGUUAUAACAUAUUAUGAAUGUUGUAUUGGAAUAGUUUUUGUAAUCAUAUUUAACACCUUAAUUAUAUAUAAAAGUCAAGAAAGGAUGAUUUUUUUUCACACCGAGCACCCUAGAAUCUAAAAGUGGCAACUUCAACCAAUUUGACUAAAAGAUGGGUCAAUUUCAGUUUUUUUUUUCACAUCCAACAAGCCAAAUGGUUCAAAAGUCUCCCAAAGUGUAUCUAAAUACUUACAAGUUACAACAUUCUAAAGUACGUAGUAGCAUCAAUAAUAAAACUAUAAUAUUGAUAUGAACCAAGUAGAUAAAUGGGAUCAGAUCUACAUAAAUAGAAGGCAUGGGCAAUUUAGUAAUUAUUCUAGUAUCUUUAUUAUUUAGUAUAUAUCUAGUUGAUUCUGGUUUCCUUAGGCAAUUAAGGUUUCCUUCUACGAGUAGAGCUUCCUUUUAUCAGUUUAGGAGAUUCUAUAAAUAGGGCUAGUGUCGGCUCUAAGAAAGCAGACAAAGUUUUGUGAGUCGUUUUCUUUUGUUUGAAGAUCCCCUACUCGAAUAUCAGACACCUUAAGCAUUAAGUUAUAAGUAAUCGAGUUUAUCAAUUUGGUUAUAUCAAAUAUCCUUUUCCCUAACAAAAUGAGGUAAGGGGGAUGUCAGAAGAUGCAGAGUGUAGACAGUCUUUCCCUCCACUUGAGUGUAGAGAGCAAUGUCACAAGGAACGAAAACGGGAACACUGAUCUCUAAAUUCCAAUACAAGGAUAACUUACAUUUGGUCCAUGGAAAGCUAUACCAUGUAAUCUAUACAUGGUAUGAAGUAUGUACCAUAUCCAAAACAUAAAACAUAUAUAAUGUAAUUCAUGAAAAAGUAAAGAAAAAACAAUAUAAUUAAGUUAACUUCAAUUCAUAAAGUGGAAAACAUUGUUUCAUAACAAAAAACUAGAAAAGUAAAAAACAAUAUGAAAAAGUUGAAAUCAAUCAAUACUGACUUUUUCGUUCCUAUCUACAUCACCUUCCUCUAAAUUCUCCUAUUGCAUGUCUUCAUGUCUUCAAAUCUUGUACUUUCCGUUCCAAAUAUGUAUUUUUGGAUUCACAUCAAAUCUUUUGUAUGCGCCCUCUUUAUACUUUUUAAGAAAAGCAUGACAGUAGUCGAAUAUUUGAAUGGAUAUACACUGACCUACGCGCCCUUUUACAAUUCAAACAAUUUCUUUUCGUAGUAUCGAUAUAGUAGGUGCUCCAGUUUCUUUCUGCUGAAGAGCUACUAAAUGGCCUAUGAAAGAACUUUUUUUAACUUCAACAAAUUCAAGAAUUUUUGAACUUGACCACCAAUCGAUCGUGUCUAGGGUCAUUGCAUCUAUUUGAGCGGAAUGUUACAAAUUGCUCUCACAAUACCCACUCUUCUUCUUGAAUUUCAAUUCUUCUUUUAAAAGUUUCUGUAACACAAAGUUCCAAUUUUUGUCUAAAUUAGGAGAUCUUCUAACAAUUCCAUCGGGUGCUAACAUCUCAAGAUAAUGUGUAUCAUAAACGCGAGAAGAUAAUGUAAAGCCCAAACAGUUUAAAGGAAUAGUCAUCUUUGUAACAUCCUAAAAAUUUUAAUUUAAAAAUAAAAUAAGGAUGUAUAUGGUUAAAAUGUAUCUAAUAACAUGUUAGAGUGGGAAAAUGCAAGUAAUGGUAAGAACUAACAAAAUUCUCAAACUAGAGGGACCAUAAGUGAAAACUUGAGGAAAUAAGAUGCAAGCACACUUCCCUCAUUCUUGUUGGACGUAUUUUGAAAGGAAUAGAGAGAUCUAAUGGUGAAUUCUUCGUUUCUUGACACUUAGGGCUUGAUUCAAGAGGAGAAUUGGGAAAUAAAGCAAAGAAGAGAAGGAAUCAAGGCUAGCAAGGUAAAACUCUUCUCUGUUACCUUUAAAAUUCGAAGUUGUGAAGAGGGUGAAAUCCUAGUGUCGAGUUUAGUAGGAUUUUAUGAUUAGGUUUUCAAUUUCUAACCCCCUUUGGGUGGUUUUGAUGGUUCUAAUCUCAAACCAAUCAUUCCUUUGAUGGUCUUGAUGAUUUGGGUGAAAACCCUCAUGAACCCUAGAAAACCCAAAUUGAGAAUAUGGCAAUUGAUAAUGAAAUGAGAUUAGAUUCUAUGACCUAGAUGAUAUUCGAUAGCAACAAAUCCAAUUAGAAUGCUCAAAUUCAUCCAUGAUGGUAGAAUCAUGUAUAUGCUAGAAUUGGAAUGGAGUUGAGUGAAAUGUGAUGAAAAUAAUGGAAUCUUUUGUUUGUGAGCAUUUGAUGAGUAUAUGAUACUCAUAAACAUGAGUUGAUACUAAUAAUAUGAUUUGAAUGCAAUAACAUGAAGACUUGAAUGAUUCCUAGUUAAAAAUACGGAGUUAUUGGCCAUAAGGGCAAAAUGGGAAGGUUGGAAUGGAAUUUUACAUUACACAAGUCCAUUAAGGAAUUAACAUGAGAUUGUGUAAUGUUAAGCACUUGAAACCACCCAAUGAUGUAUAAGAUGAUUUGGGAAAAAGUCAUAUUGAUAAAGGAGUGUUCUUGACCAACUUGAGCUCUUAACGCUUUCAUUUGAGUGUUUGUAAGCAUUAUAAACUUAGCAUUUUGAUUGAUGUAACGCCCGUAGAUCCGGGCUAGUCAAUUUAGAGACAAUGAGCGUUGAAAAUGAGUUUUUAAUGGAAGAUUAUUUAAAGGGAUUAAUCUUAACCAAGUUUUAGUAUAUGUUACAAGGGUUCCGUACAUAUAAAGAACGCCGAAAUCCGAGUUACAACGAAGAAGUUAUGACAUGUCGAAGUUUUACGGCAAAACGACACGACACUGGGAGAAGUAAAUAGUGAAUUUAUGAUAGAGGACUUUUUAGCCUUAGUGAUCUAAACACCCAAAUCUGACUUCGUAUGAGAAAGUUACGAAUUUUAUAAGAUUUGGCAUAACAGUGCACGACCCGAAACUCGAAUUUUAGUUCAAGCGGUUUUUGGCCUACGCGACCUAAAUGAGAGUUGAAGAUAUCAUUAAUAGAAACUCAACAAUAAAAAGACAGACGAAAACGGAGUCCGUAUGUAGAAGUUAUGAAUUUUACGCGGACAUUUAAUAAUAUAAUCUCAUCCUACUGUUAAAUUUAAGAUCGGUCGAGAAUUAGCCGAUGGAGUCAAUAGGAAACUUGUAGAUCUUAUUUUUACCUACGACGUCAAAAAUGGAGCUCGUAUGAGAAAUUUACGGAUUUUAGAAGUCGGAAGUGUGUUGUGCGAAAACGGGUGACGUGGCACAAUCUUGGCCAUUGUUUUCUCCCCAAGUCUUGCCACCAGAUGGUGACAUGUGGCACCAAGUUUAGCCGUAUUUCACCUUGUAAAUAGAACCUCUCACACCCUCAUUUUCUUCACACCUUCCCAUUCUUUCUUCUCUAUACACUCUCUCUAAACCUCCCAAAAAAAACUCCCCUAGCGUUAGAAGAAAGCCCCGGAGCGCUCGACAGCUCUGAGAAGAAGAGCUUUCGACUCAGAAGUUUUGCCCCUGCAGAGCACGGCUUCUAGCCAAACCCCCUCGUAGGUAAGAUAUGCCUACCAAAUUUUUAAUAUAAAUUUUAUUUAAAUAUAGUAACGUUAUUAGGACCUUAUAAUAAUUAUUUGAGCUAUUAUUAUGUGUUAUAUAAGUGUCGUAUAAUAUCUUUUUAACCACUCGCGGUACGGGGAAUCCGGUUUGAAGGGCCGCCUGGGUUGUUGGAUUUCAGAAAUGCUAUAUGCCAAAAUGAUCAUGCCCUCCGGUGUUUCAUCUCUGGCCCUGUCUGUACAUAGUGGGUGAAAAGUAUUGUUUAACGCUUAUAGAAUAGUAAUAAUAGCUAGACUAUUAAUUAGUCUCGUUGAACAUUAGACUAAACUCUAGUGGAAAGGAUACUAGGUUUUGUCAACGGAUUUUUUUUUAAAGUAAACGAAGUGCUGUCCAAGUACCGAGUCACCACCUUUGCAGGUGAGUGCAUAGUUACUUUCAUCUUACACAUAGAUGUGAAGUAUUAUAUAUAAAUUACGUGCUAUGUGUAUACUGUCUGAAUACUUGUUAUCUAUGCUGGAUGAAACGUUUUAUACAUGUUUUAAACGAUCUAAACUGUAUAUAUGUAUUUUAUAUCUACAAAAUGUGUUGGGUAAAAUAUGGGUAGAUUAGAGGUGAGAUAAAUGAUGAGCGAAGAAAGAUGAGAUAAAUGAUGAGCGAUGAUAUAUGAGUGAUAAAAUAUGGUGCGAAGCGAUGACCUAAGCGAAGAGCCAAAGCGAUUAGCCAAAACGAUGAGCCAAAGAGAUGAGCCAAAACGAUGAGCCAAAUGAUGACCCAAGCGAUGGCCCCAUCAUCUAGCAGAGUAUGGAUGACAACCACAGACUAUUUUAGACAGUCCAGUGGAACUCUAGCAGGCUCGCAACCUGUACGUGUUGUGAACAGUGUGUUCACUCGGUGUACUCUAAAAACUCAUUGACAGGUAUUACGAGUGGACUCUUGAAAACGAUGUUGUCAAUAAACGAGAUAAACCCUGGCGACUAUGUAGGCUUAGUGCCAAUUCCUUAGGAUACUCCUUAGGAAUGAAUGAACGAGGAAUAGCUGAAUCUUAGGGUAGAUCCUUAAGAGUUAAGAAGAUAAUGGGGAUGGGUAAAUUGGGUUGAUUGUUUGAUGUUUAACAUAAUAAUUAUAUUAUUGUGGGUUGAAAACCCUAUGUACUCACCAGGUUUCCCAACCUGACCCAAUCAGUUAUUUGUAUCACAGGUGUCGAUACGAAGCUACAUUACACUGAGAGAUUAAGGAGAUGUAAAUCACUAGUGAUAAUGAAUGUAAGUUUUGUUUAUGCUUAUGUUUCUGUAUUGACGAUGACAUCCCAAUGUUUUUAAAAUGAAUAAAAAACAUUUAUUUGGAAAUUCUUUGAUAACGUAUUUAUCACGUUUUACUGGGAACAAAUUCCGCAACAUUUUUAUUAAAAGAAGUACUCUGAUUUUUAUAAAGCAUAAACAAAAUCGGUCUUUUCUGGCCGUGAAAAUGGGGAUGUCACAGUUGGGCCUUGGGAAUGAGAAAGGAAAUUAAUGUUAGGGUAUGAAAUGAUAAUUUAUGUUAUGUAAGAAAUGAAUUUCUUUGAAAAUACUUGAAUUGUUUUAAGGUCUAAAAUCCACAUAACUCACAAGACAUUUUGUUCUACCUAUCUCUUUUUAAUGCCAUGUAUCUCAGGUGAUAGCUAAAGGUGUGAAGUGACAUAGAAGUAAUGAAGUCCAUGGGAAACUUAGUGGAGCAUAAGUUACAUUUGACUUUGAUCUUGUAAAUCUUUGUUUGCUUGCUAUGGUUUAUUUGAUACAAUGCUAGUAACACCCAAGAGAUUGUUUUGAAACUAUGUUUAAACUCUGAUGAUUUGUUAAAUGUUUUUUUUCUUUUAUUAAACCUUGCCAUAACAUUAAAUUUUUAUUUGAAAAAUAUUUGGGUGUUACAGUUGGUAUCAGAUCCAUAGUUUAAGCGAAUUAGGAUUGGUUCAUUCCACUCCUAGGCUUAAACUUUGGUUAUAGAAUAUAUGAUCAAGAAAUUGGAUUUAUAUGCUUCUAGUUAUAUGGAUUUGUAGGAUACUACCUUGAGUGCUCUUAAAGUAGAAAAGAAAGUGGUACUAGUAUAUUAGUGGUUUAAACCAAUGGAGAAAACCUUCUAAAUAGUGAAAUCAAAUUUGAUUAUGUAUGAUGUGAGUAUAAUAGUAUAGGGCCCGUACUAUUAUAAACACAUGAUACAUACUCAAAAUUGUGGAACUAUGAAGGGGGUUUGUGAAAUAUGGGAUAGACCUUUGCUAUGAAUGUUGUUAGAAGUUUCAUGUCUUAGUAAAUUGUGACUACCCGAAAUUUCUAUCUUGUGUAGUUAUUCAAAUCAAUCAAGUUAGACUCGUUUUUGUCAUCUUAUAGCAUUGUUUAGAGUCAAUUAGAGUGUUCUAAGCCUAGCAUAACCAAGGUUUGAGGCUAGGGAUGAGUGUAUUUGAGUUCAAAACCUUUCAAAUGAGCCAAACACCCCUUCAUAAGGUGUGUGCGGCCGCACACAUGGGUAUACGACCGUACACCCAUCCUAACUGUACACUCUCAUGUAUAAAUGAGAGUGUUAGCCUUCAUUUACUUCUUUUCACACUCCUAAGCCAAGAAAUCAACUUCUCUCUCAAGUAUCAUCCGACUUUUCAUCUAGAUCUUCAAGUUGUAAGUGUUUCUUCCUUUUAUUUGAUGAUUCAUUACACUAUCUAGUAAGGAUCUAUCAUUUCAUCCAUGAAAUUACUCCUUUUGUUUAGAUCUUUAAGUGUUCACCAAGAACACCAAGAAUACCUACUAAGUUUUUGGACCUCAAACACCCAUAAAAGCUUCUAUAUUGUAAGUAUCACUCCUUAUUCUUGUUACUUACUACCUUUACUCCUUAGAGAACGUCCAAACCAUGAUCAUUAAGGAGUGUACGGUCGUACACACCCCAUGUGGCUGUACACCCCUUUAUUUAGUGCAUAAUGGCCUCAAAACUCAUGUUCUAUGAUAACACUUGAUCAAGAACACUUUGGGGAUGAAAGUUAGAGACUUGGAAUAAACUUUUGACCAUAUUUAUAUGAUCAUCAAGGGUGUACGGCCGUACACUCCCUGUGAGGCCGUACACACCCUUUUUAAGGUCCAAAAUGGCAUUAAACUUCCGUUAAGGCUAAGCAUUGGUCAAGACACACUUCCUAGAUGCUUAAUAAGACUUUAAAUCACUCAUUGGCAUGUUUCACCAUGAGUGUGCGGCCACACACCCACUUGGGCCGUACACACCCAUGAAACACACCAUUCUGGCCGUACACUCCAAGGUGUGGCCAUACACCCAUUAUUUGCAACCCUUGGUACUUGUAGCACUUCUAUCUAAGUGUUUCCUAUGUCCCAGGGUGUUUUUCCUUGCAUUAUUAGUUGUUUAAACACUAAUUAUAUACAUAUAUGUGUCAUUAUAUGCUGAUUAGGAUCCGUUGUGCUCAAGUCUUCGCUUGACACUUAGCAUCCUACAAACCGAUCUUUCAUUUGUAUCACUCACUGCAGGUGAGUUCAUACCCCUUAACUUAUCUUUUAAAUGAUUUUAAAUGCUUUUAGGGGGAUACAAGUAGAAACAUCAUAGUUAUUAUAUCAAUCGCAUGUGGUUAAUAACUAUCAAGCAAAUGGCUUUCUUAUAUUUCAAAACUGUGAUAUCAAACAAACUACUUCAACUCGCUUUAUAAACUAUUUUACAUAUUAAAUUAUUUACUUAAACUCUUUCAAACUUAUAUUUUGUCAAAUCAUGUCUAUAUAGGUAUAGUCAUAUAAGUAGGAUUGAAAAGACUUAGGACUGAUAACUCGCCUUACUUCAUGUUCCUUGUUUGGUUGUGGACUUAGGUUAUCGGUUGUUUUUCCGAAGGUCGUUUGAAUCUUAGUUAUAUGUUAUAUGUAUGUAUAUAGACAUUAAAGUUCUUCAUUAUGUUCAAUACCUUUGGGUAGCAAAGGUGCUCAAACAUGUUCAUUCAUACAAACAAUAUUACUAGUAAACUAUAAUAGGUAUAGUUUAGGAAGUCACUACUUACUAUUACUAGAAACAAUGAAACAUACAAGAGUCGGUUCAUUCAUGAGUCAAUACAAACACACUAUUAUGAGAAACAGAAAGAACAUACUAUUAUGAGAAACAGAAAGAACAUACAAUGAUGAGAAACAAAGAGAACAUACACUACACUAUACAAGAGAACAUACAUUACACUAGUACAAAGAGAACAUACAAUACACUAGAACAUGCUAUAAAAACACUAGAACACUAUAACAUUAAUGUGAGCCACUACUUCAUGGCAUGGCAAUCUACUGUUGUGUCACGUUUUGCAACCAGAGUCUCCUGGAGGGAGAGCGUGAGUUGGUGUAUAGAUCUAUACGGGAUUGACUAUCCUACACCUUGCUGCUAGCUAUAGUGGGACCUGCAGGUCUACGGGUGACUAAUGUCAUACCAUUCCGAUGCCUUAGAGUGUCGUGUUAUACUAGUCAAUCAAGUAUGGUUACAAUCAUAUCACAUUUUACCUUAAUUAACGAACUGGUUUAAGGUAGUUAGUGCAUUAGUAGUUACUUGCAUACAAUACUACUGUACACUGUUAUUUUCCCAUUGCAUUCACAUUGUGAUCUUCUCACAUAAACGGUAAUGUAAACUAUAUUUUGGUAAUGAUAGUCAUACAUGGGAAAAAUACACACUUUUACAGACAACACAACACACAGAACAUUCGGGCCUUGGUAGAAGGCCACUUUUAGUAGAAAAUAUAGGAUUUUCUAGAAGAUACAAACUUUUACAAACAUUGACAAACAUUUAUUACAACGCUUACAAACAUUUACAUCAAACAUCUACAAAAACUUUCAUACAAGAAAUGACACUAAAAUACUUAUGAACUCACAAGCUUUAACGCUGAUCUACACUUUCAAAAUAACUUGUAUUCUCAAGUCAUUAGUAGACAGGUACCGAUGCCAGGUUUUGAGAAGACGGAGCUUUCAAGACUCGUCUCUUAUUUUGAUUCAUAUUUUUGGUGUCUUAUAAACUAUACACAGAACACUUGUAUUAAAUUAUAUUAUUAAUGCAACGGAUGAUGUUGUUUCUUGUUUACUAUUAUGCAUUGUUGUCAUACUGUACAUGACGUCCUCCACCCCCGAAUGUUUCAGGCAAUUCGGUUUGGGGGUGUGACAUAAAUGCCAUGCUAAUGGUUGAAAUAUACUAAUAUAGAUAUGUGAAUAAUGAUGUAUACUAAAGUGUUGAAGUUUUGUAGCAUGAUGACGCGAACAAGGAGUCAAACAUCCCGUAAAGAAGGACGAGGACAAGCCCCAAAUCAAGGGACUCUUGUAAAUAGGCCACCAAGAGUAGAGAACCAAGGCAAAAAUGAUGGUGAGAUCAAUCCCCUGCUGGUCACUCUUGAGGUAAUCCAAAGGUUUCUACAUGACCACCGAGAACAAAGCUGAAUUGAAAUGAGGCAAUUGAUUGACGAACGAAUGAGGGAUGUAUCAAGAACUUUAUCAGACUCUCAGGAUCAAGGUGACACCCCCUAGGGUGUUGCCCAAUCCGAGUAAUCCAAUCAUGGACCUCCUGGACCACCCAAACCUUCGGUGAUUGCUUUAAAAGAACCAUUAGUUGGACCAAAAAGGAGCACGAGAAUGUGGAAUCAAGGACUUUAUGACGUGCCACUCUACGGAAUUCAAAGGUGACAAUGUAACGCAUGUAAAUCCAGGCUAGUCAAUUUAUAGAUAAUAGGGGUCGAAAACGACUUUUUGAAUAUAUAUUAUUUAGAAUAAAUAAUCUUAACCAAGUUUUAGAAUACGUAUCAAGGGUUCCGUACAUAUAAAGAACGCCGAAAUCCGAGUUGUAACAAAGAAGUUAAGGCCCGUCGAAGUUUUACGGCAAAACCGACACGACACCAGGAGACGUAAAUAGUGAAUUUACGAUGGAUGGCUUUUUAGCCUUAUAAAUCUAAACAAAAGUUGUAGUAUAUGUUAAACCGAGAACGUACAAAAUAGAACGCCAAAUCUGACUUCGUAUGAGGAAGUUAUGAAUUUUCUAAGAUUUGACACAACAGUGCACGACCCGAAACUCGAAUUUUAGUUCAAGCGGUUUUUGGCCUACGUUACCAAAAUGAGAGUUGAAGAUCUCAUUAAUAGGAACUCAACGAUAAAAAGACAGAUGAAAAUGGAAUAUGUAUGUAGAAGUUAUGAAUUUUACGCGGACAUUUAACAGUAUAAUCUCCUCGUAUUAUUAAAUUUAAGAUCAGUUGAGAAUUAGCCGACGAAGUCAAAUGAAAGUUGUAGAUCUUACUUUACCUACGUGUGGAUAUAAAGAACGUAAAAAACGGAGCUCGUAUGUGAAAGAACGGAUUUUAGAAGUCGGAAGUGUGUUGUGCGAAAAUGGGUGAUGUGGCACAAUCUUGGCCAUUGCUUUCUCCCCAAGUCUUGCCACCAGAUGGUGACAUGUGGCACCAAGUUCAGCCAUAUUUCACCCUAUAAAUAGAACCUCUCCCACCCUCAUUUUCUUCACACCUUUCCCAUUCUUUCUUCUCUUUACUCUCUCUCUCUCUCUAGAACCUCUCUCUAGCCCUAAAACCCCCCGAAAAGCCUAGGGAACCUCCCUAGCACGAGGCGGAAGCCUCAGAGUGCUCAACGGCUCCGAGAAGAAGAGAUUUUUGGCUCAGGAGCGCUGCUCCAACCAAAGCCCAAUUUUCUAUAAAACCCGUUGUAAGUGAGCUACGACUACGCUAUUUUUAAUAUAACUUUUAUUUAAUUAUAGUAACGUUAUUAGGAACUUAUAAUAAGUACUUGGUCUAUUAUUAUGGGUUAUAUAAGUAUUGUUUAAUGCUCAUAUAAUAGUAAUAAUAUCUAGACUAUUAAUUAGUCUCGACGAAUAAUAGACUAAACUCUAGUGGUAAUAAUACUAGGUUUCGUCGAAGGAAAUUAUUUUAAGAAGCGAAGCGCUGUUUGAGUUCGGAAUCACCACCUUUUCAAGUGAGUGCAUGGUCCCUUUCAUCUUACAAAUAGAUAUGAAGUAUUUUAUAUAAACUACAUGUUAUGUGUGCAUAUUAUCUGUAUACUUGCUAUCUAUGCUGGAUGAACGAUUUUAUACAAGUUUUAUAUGGUUUAAACUGUAUAUGUAUUUAUAUCUACAUAAUAUGUUGGGUAAAACAUGGGUAGAUGAAAUAUGACUUGGAUGAUGAGUUGAGAAGUGAUAUAGACCAUGAGGUAAGGGUCAGAGGUGGACGAUGUGAGAAGCCUUGUUCCCAAAUGCUGGCCCCGUCAUCUAGCAGAGUAUGGAUGACAACCACGUACUAUUCUAGACAGUCUAGUGGAACACUAGCAUGCUCGCAACCUGUAGGUGUUGUGAACGAUGUGGUCACCGGUGUACUCUAAAAACCCAUUGACAUGUAUUGCGAGUGGUCUCUCGAAAACGAUAAUGUCAAUAAAUGAGAUAACCCUAGCAGCUGUGCUCGAAGGACAAUACUGGCAGUUGCGCCUCAUAUAGAAUGUCACAAUUCUGGUAGCUGCGCCUAAGUGAUAGAAUUAGAAGUUGUGCUUGACAGUUAUGGCAUUGAUAACGAUGGACUUCGUACCUAUUCCUUAGGAAUGAAUGAAUGAGAAAUAGCUGAUUCUUAGGGUAGAUCCUUAAGAGUAAAGAAGAUAAUGGGGAUGGGUAAUUUGGUUAACUGUUUGAUGAUUAAACAUAAUAAUUAUAUUAUUGUGGGUUGAAAACCCUAUGUACUCACCAGGUUUCCCAACCUGACCCACUCAGUUUAUUUAUAUCAUAGGUGUUGAUAUGAAGUCACAUUACACUGAGAGAUUAAGGAGAUAUAAAUCACUAGUGAUAAUGAAUGUAAGCUUUGUUUAUGCUUAUGUUUCUAUAUUAAUGAUGAAAUCCGAAAUGUUUUAAAAUGAAUAAAAAUACUUUUCUUCAGAAAUGCUUCGGUAACGUAUUUAUCAUGUUUUACUAAGAACAAAUUCCGCAACACUUUUAUUUAAAAUGUUACUCUGAUUUUUAAACAAAGCAUAAACAAAAUCGGUCUUUUUUGGUCGUGAAAAUGGGGAUGUCACAGACAAAUACCCAAAGGUCGUGAUGAAGUGGAUUGCCGAAAUGGAGCAUGUGUUCUACACUUGCAAGUGUGAAGAUGGAUUGAAAGUGGGAUUUGCUAGCCACAUGCUCAAAGAUGAUGCUCUUGGAUGGUGGAACAACCUUCACGAGGCAAUUGGAACCGAAAGGAUUACAUCCCUCACUUGGGAAGAAUUUGUGAAGUGCUUAAAAGCCAAAUUUAGCUCCCCGAGACGCCAAGAUAAGUUGGUGAAUGAGCUCUUUGCUCUUCAAAAAGGCAAUAUAAAAAUUGAUGAGUACACUAAGAGGUUCACUGACAUGCUUCCUUUCCUUGGGAAUACUCUACCCAAUGAAGAAGGAUGAGUGAACCACUACCUUAAUGGACUUCCGGGGGACUAUUCCUUGGAAGUGGGAAAAACCACUACACUUGAUGAUGCAAUUGAGGCAGCUUUUAGAGUGGAAGACAUGAUACUCAAGAAAGCAAGUGAGAGACAAGUGAUCGGUGAAAAAAAGGAAAUUCCAUGGAUCUUUGGGAUCUCAUAAGAGGAGUCACUCUGCAUCUAGCCACUUCAAUAAAGAAUAAGGGAAGGAAUGUAAGAAGUGUGAAAAGCAAUAUGCCGAUGAUUAUAAGUUGGGGACAUCCGAUUGCUACAAGUGUGGUUGACACGGUCACAAGGCUCGAGACUACAAGGUUCGGGAUACGAGUGGCGUGGAGUGCUUCUCUUGCCAUGAGAAAGGUCAUUAUAGUAAGAAUUGCCCAAGGCAACAGGGUGAAACCAUGGGAUCAACGGUUAACAAGAAAGAAAACAUGGGCCCGGUAGCGGGGAGAGGGUACUUGAUAAGUGAAGAAGAGGCAAAGGAAAACCAUGAUGUUGUUGUAGGUACACUACUUGUUGACUCUAACCUUUAUCGCAUAUUAUUUGAUUCGGUUGCUAGCUACUCUUUUGUAUCUCAUUCUUUUUGUCACAAACUAUAACAACCGGAUUUACAUGGACAUUAUUGUGUACGUUAAUCUUGACAUUUGAGGAGGGACUCGACGAGUUGAGGGACCAACUCGCCGAGUCGAGUCGAGAUGCUGCGUGGAAUUAAUGAGUGGACUCGACGAGUCCGACGAUGGACUCACCGAGUAGGUACUGGGCAGAGAAAACCCUAAGUUUCGGGGUUGGAGCCUAUUUAAAGGAGCUUAUGUCCUUGGGUGCGCCUCAUAUCUCCUGUAAAAAACCCUAAAUCGCCUUUGGAACCAAGGAAGAGUUCUUGUGAUGAAAUCAAGUAAUUUUGGUGUGGUUUUUCAAAGGAAGCGAAGGGAUUCAACUUGAAGGACCAAUGGAGGUUGUUAUUCUGAGAUAUCUAAGCAAGGAUCUCUAUUUUGAGGUAGUAUUUCGCCCCUUCCUUCUGUUUUGUGUAAAAAUCCUUGAAUCUAGGGUCUUCUUUACCCUUUCUUGGAUAAUAUAUGAUGCAUAGGAGAUCCCAAUGUGGAAUAAGCUAUAGAUCUGGAGCUUAAGAGGUCCAGAGAGUCUCAAUCUUCCAGCUUUAUGCAGUCCCUUUGGGGUUAUGGAUCUAGGUUGCCAUUUUAGGAGCUAUUUCUUCAUAUAGGGGCAUAAGAGUGUUGCAUGAGCUUAAAGAUUGAACCUUUACGAGAUUACUGGGUGCAAUAAGGUCAGAUCUAUAAGUUAGAUAAACAGAUCUGACCUCAGAAAGUCUUUUCAGUGUUGCCAUGGAGGGAACUCGCCGAGUCCAUAUGGGGACUCGACGAGUCGAGUCGGGUUGCCCGCGACUCGUGACCAGUGGUAACCCGUCGAGUGAAAGGUUAACUCGACGAGUCGAGUGAGGCUUUUGAGGAUUCAGAGCACACGCAUGGACUCGCCAAGUCACUCGAGUGCACUCGACGAGUCUGGUCAGAGUUGGCCGUUGACUUGAGUUAACUUCUGUUGACUUUGGGGUUUUAGUCAACAUAAGUAAUAGAGAUCAUAGAGGGGUAAAAUGGUCUUUUACCCACUACCCGAUUAGAGNNNNNNNNNNNNNNNNNNNNNNNNNNNNNNNNNNNNNNNNNNNNNNNNNNNNNNNNNNNNNNNNNNNNNNNNNNNNNNNNNNNNNNNNNNNNNNNNNNNNNNNNNNNNNNNNNNNNNNNNNNNNNNNNNNNNNNNNNNNNNNNNUAUAUAUAUAUAUAUAUAUAUAUAUAUGAUAUGUGUUGUACUGCAUUAUUUCUAUGUGAGUUAUGCCGUGCAUGCUUAUAGAGUUAGAACCGGAAGGUUCACAGAGUUAGAACUAGAGGGUUCACAAAGUAGGGUCCACGGACCCACAUAGUUAUAGCCUCAAGUGGCUAGUAUGUGUUACGUGUGGUAUUUUGGGGAACUCACUAAGCUUCGUGCUUACCGUGUUACGUGUUAUGUGUUAUGUGUUUCAGGUUUUUAUCAGGAUCAUGGGACGACACCGGCUCGAUUGUACACACCAGAAGAGGAGUUAUGUUUUAGAGGAUCCUGGAUUAUUAUUUAAUUGAUUAUGGAGUUAUGUUUAGUAAUUUAAACAAAGUGAGAUUUUUACAAAAAGGGUUUUAAGAAUUAAGCGAAUUUAAUGAAAAUUUGAGUUUUGAAAAUUUCGGUGUUUCAAGUUGGUAUCAGAGCCUUGGUUUGAGGGAUUCGGAUGCACCUUCGGGUAAAUCUGGACUCAAACUGAGGAAGUAAGAAAUUGUUUCAAAGAAAUGAUUUUCUAAAAGUGAAUAAGAGUUCAAAGAGAAAGCGAGAAAGAGCAGUGUGUACAAUCAACCAGAGCCCGAACGGUGAUUUCCCAAAAUACCCUUACUUUUGUGUUUUGAGAUAUUUAUGAUACAUUCUACGAGAUAUUAUGCAUGCUAGAGACAGGCUAGGUAUUUCAUAUCUUAGGACUAGAGUGGCCUGAUUUGUGAUGCCUUAGCGUAGGAGUUGCUGUUAUAUGUGAUGUGCUUUUGAGUAUGAGUGAGAGUAUUCAUUUGGAAUCCUUUUAGGGGAUUUGAGUAGAAUAGUAAUCUAGGAGAGACGCCUAAAUGAGUAUUGUGGUGCUUAUCAAAAGAAUAGUUAGAGCCCGCGAGGGGUAGAGUUGUAGAGUUCGGUGGUACUUUUAAGAAUGAGCAGAGCAAGCGGAGUUAUCACCCAGAGUGAGUUCUAUAUAUUCUUCGAUGCCCGAAUGGUGCUUGCUUCGUGAUUUCUGGAACUCUCGAUGAUGGGAGUUAGCUACCAAGUGAAUAUGACGAUAUUCAGGAGGUAGAGGCUGGCAUCAUUAAGAGCUCUUCAGCAGCUGAUGGCGGAGAAGUGGGAGGACCAAGGAAGAGCCUAGGGAGUGACCUUAGCCAGAUGAGUAUGCUGGCGGAGUAGAGUAUUUCAUUGAGGAGCGAACACGUGUGGCGGAAUUAGUGAACAAGACGGUUGAGCAGCUACUUAGGAGCUCUGGAAUGGUCCGUGUGGAAAGUAUGGGUAGAUGUGGCAGGGGGGNAGUAUGGGCCCGUAUUACUGAAAGCAGAGGACCCAUACUCAAUACAGGGAGUAUUCUGAAGGUUCUAAGUAGCAAAUUGAGGAGUGAUAUUAUGGUUCGAGUACCAUACAUCGGAGCAGAUUGAGGAGUGAUGUUAUGGUUCGAGUACCAUACAUCGGAGCAGAUUGAGGAGAGAUGUUAUGGUUCGUGUACCAUGCAUCGUAGCAGAUUGAGGAGUGAUGUUAUUGUUCGAGUACCAUACAUCGGAGCAGAUUGAGGAGUAAUCCUAUGGUUCAUGUACCACGCAUCGUAGCAGAUUGAGGAGUGAUGUUAUGGUUUGAGUACCAUACAUCGAAGCAGAUUGAGGAGCGAUGUUAUGGUUCGGGUAUCAUACAUCGGGGCAGAUUAAGGAAUAAUGUUAUGAUUCGAGAGCAGAUUGAGUAGUGAUGUUAUGGUUCGAGCACCAUACAUCGGAGCAGAUUGGGAAGUGAUGCCAUGGUUCGAGUACCAUGCAUCUUAGUAGAUUGAUGGGUGAUGUUAUAGUUCGAGUGCCAUGCAUUGUAGCAGAUUGAGAAGAGAUGUCAGGGGCUGAUUACCAUGGUUCUUAGCAAAUGAUGCUUGUGAUUCUCCGGUUGUCCGAUCAGGAUUGAUUGGUGGAGUUUGGACGCGAUGGCUUUUUAGGCCUGAGGGCCAUGAUUGGGUCCGAAGAAGCAUCCCUUGAGAGGGAGGUCGGGAGCAUUUCAGAGUACCUUGGUAAGAUGUCAGAUGUAGUCGCAAGACUCAGGGAUUAGUAGAGAAGGUAUUUAUGGGGGAUUGCGGUCUGAGUGAGCAAUCAGCCGAUGGAGGAGAUGUCACCUUCUGUGAUUUGUUGGGUGCUAUUUAUGUUUCCUAUGGUAAGUAGGAGAGGCGUGAGAUUUCAGUUUUGGGUUUAGGAGUAAACCCUAUGGGUUGACAUUGAUGACGAAAAUUUUCCACUAGAGUAUCAGGCAGCAUGUCUGCCGCAAGGAAAUGAUCUACCAUGAGAAGGUAGUCAGUGGGGACUGAGAUGGUCAAGGACCACAUUACACCCUAAUUGAGUAUAGUAGGGCGUGUGGUAGCGGUAUCAGCGAGUAAUCCAGACGAGUAUAUCAGAGCGGUGGCUCUUUUGUCUAUGAUGGGUAUUGAGUAUGGUAGUGGAGUCCCUAUUCUUAUGAUGAUUCACAUGUUGGGAUGGGGGUUGAGAAGUCGAGGAUGAGGAGUAUGAUGAUUUAUUGUUUCAGUCUAAGAGUCAGAGAUAGUACUGGACAGUUGAGAUGUCCGGUAGUGGGAUGGUACGAGAUUCUGAAUGACUAGGGCUGGUCAUGAUGAGAAGUUUCUGAGGAUUUCAUCGGAGGUUCGGAGUAUUUGGAAUUGCUUAACCUCCAUCAGGGAUAUCAUCAAGCAUUGCGUAUCACCUUCUAAGUAGGUGUGAUGUUAUUGAUAAAAACAGUUCGUGGGUUAGAUUGUUAGUGAUGGAUCAAACCCUGAGUGGGGGAGAACCGAGUACUUUUGAGGAGAUUCAAGAGUUGUUCAAGAGCGAUUAGAGAACUGGAUAGAGAGGCAUGCGGUGCGAAUUCUUGAGGCCGGAGUUAUUGGUGGUUAAGGAGAGGUGCAGAGCAAGAUAGUGCAUGUGGUAUGUUUUUGAGAAAGAAUGGGUGUCUCCACGGCGAGUGGCCGUUGGUCAGAGACCUUGUGGUGGUUAGGAAUCCUUCAAGGUUAAAAUGGUGAAAUCGAGGUGGUUGGCUUGCGAGGUUAGUUCGGCGGUUGAGAAUUUCUGGUUCAGAGUAUGGGCUAUUAUAUGCAGUAUGGGAAGGAAAGAAGUUGAUUGGGCGACCAACCUCAGGGUCGGUCAAUGUAUUCUUGCAUGUGUUUUGAGCAAUAAACGAGGCAGUUUCGGAUGGGUGUCAUCAUGUUUCGAGUCAUUGUCGAUUCAUCAGUGUUUCGAUUGAUAGUUGGGAGACUCUGAAGUUGCGCGUUGUGUGAAAUGAAGGAUAGUUAUGAUAUCAUGAGGGAAUGCAUGGAGGUAUCCGUGUAUGAUGUCGUAAGUAUGGGAUUGGUGGUUGAAGCAGGACAUUGUGAUGUUCUGCGAUGGUGUUCUAGGGUAUCCGAGUAUGAUGGCCUAAAUCUCGGACUAUUUUGCGUUUUGAGUUGAGAGGUCGAGUGGUGUAUCAAUUGUCUAUGGUUCUGAUGGGGGCCCUUAAGCUAAUUGACAUCAAAUGGAUUUAUUUGAGAAUGUGUAUUUGCAUCGAGGAAAAUAGGCCUUGUCACGACGGUGGUUGUCCGAAGUAGUGAUGCCUAGCUUGGAUGGGUGUAUGUGUACCUAUCUAUGCUGGGCCGCAGAGUAUGAGUUAAUGAUCGCAGUGUGGUGUCAACCUGAGGAUGAGUUUGUGAAGUGGUAAGAGUAAAUGCGGUAAGACUGCAGGAGAGCUGCAGCUUGAAUGAGUCAAUGUAGAGAGGUUUGGUGAUGCUACGGGGAGUCGUAGUACUCACUAUUCAGUGAGGGGUGUGGUGAUGCUACGGGGAGUCGUAGUACUCACUAUUCAGGGAGAGGUUGCGGUGAUGCUACGGGGAGCCGUAGUACUCACUAUUCAGUGAGAGGUCAUUGUGAUACUACGGGGAGACGUAGUACCCAUUAGUCAGCAAGAGAAUGUUGUGAUGAAGUGCUUGGCGUAGAAGAGUUUUAGGCUUGGGUAGCCCCAAUAUUUGACUUGUGGAAGCCUGGGGUCGAACCAGGGGCGAGAAUGGGGUCUCCAUAUUUGUCGGAAGCCAUUAUAUUCCAAAUGGAGUAGGGGUUUUCGUGGCCAAGGGAAGUGAAUCAGUGAGGUACGCAUGGUUGCGGGUCAUGAGUCAUGAGUUGAGUGAUUCAUUGGGGCGAGUGGUUCCAGCUCUGGGUCAGAUCAAACUCUCGAGUUUGAGUUUGGCUCUGGUAGUGCGUUGAGUAGGCAGAAUGAGAUUCUAAAUUCAGAGCUGAAUCUCAUUUGGAAGGGGGCAUUGCUUCCAUCUGGUGCCUUAGACCUGAUUGGGUCAAUUCGUUGGUGUGAGAAAACCGCGAAACAAAUGGGACUAAUGAGUAGUAGACGACACAGGUCGAGGGUGAAUCGAAUUCCGUAUUCGCUUGAGGAAAAGCGAACUUCGUGACUUGUGUGUCACACUAGGCCGAGAUAGCUAGUGUGGGAAGGAAGUCAGUGAGUCAUGCUAAGAUAUGCAAUGGGUAACCCUUUGGGGUUCAAUUGUUGGGUCGGGAGAUGACCCGGUGCUUAGUAUUGAAAGGGAUAUUGAGAAGGGAGCUGAGGUUUAUGUUUUUCAGAUGUCGGGGGACGCUUCUGAAAAAGCAUGGUCAUUGUUCGUGUCUGAGGGCAUGGUGUUGAGGGUUCGUUGUUUAGAAGGGUUGUGAUUACAGUACAGUGGAUGAGUCCCGGGUGUGAUGUGAUCCUUCCACUCCUUGGUAAGAUCCGGAUUGUUUAUCAUGUCCGGGACGAGUGAUCGGUAGCCAGUUUUGGGCAUGGACUUGUUUUAUCGGUUCCCACUAGAGGGUCAGAGGGGUAGUGAGUUAUCGGGGUUUGUCAUUCGAGGAGCGAAUAACGUGGUGACAUCUGGAGAGUGAGGUCUGGCUGUGUGUCAGGCUACUAGAGUUCCUAAUUCUUGAGAGUCAGAAGGGGUAGCAUAGUGGCAGAUGGGUCUAUCCUUUUCCAGGGAGGAGUUCCUGUUCAGAUUCAGGUGAAUAGAGAGGAAGAUAGUUGGGUGGUAUGAGACCCUUUCGAUGGAGCUGUUUGGUUAUUGGAUUAGAUCUAUAUGUGGUGGAGGAGCGAUUUCGAGGGAGAAAUCUAAUUCAAGCGGGGGAGAAAUGUAACAACCGGAUUUACAGGGACAUUAUUAUGUAUGUUAAUCUUGAGAUUUGAGGAGGGACUCGAUGAGCUAAGGGACCAACUCGCCGAGUCGAGUCGAGAUGCCGCGAGGAAUUAAUGAGUGGACUCGACGAGUCCGAGGAUGGACUCGCCGAGUAGGUACUGGGCAGAGAAAAUCCUAAGUUCCGGGGUUGGAGCCUAUUUAAAGGAACUUAUGACCUUGGGUGCGCCUCAUAUCUCCUGUAAGAAAACCUAAAUCGCCAUUGGAGCCAAGGAAGAGUUCUUGUGAUGAAAUCAAGUAAUUUUGGUGUGGUUUUUCAAAGGAAGUGAAGGGAUUCAACUUGAAGGACCAAUGGAGGUUGUUAUUCUGAGACAUCUAAGCAAGGAUCUCUAUUUUGAGGUAGUAUUUCGCCCCUUCCUUCUAUUUUGUGUAAAAAUCCUUGAAUCUAGGGUUUUCUUUACCCUUUUGUUGGAUAGUAUAUGAUGCAUACGAAAUCCCAAUGUGGAAUAAGCUAUAGAUCUGGACCUUAAGAGGUCCAGAGAGUCCCAAUCUUCCAGCUUUAUGCAGUCCCUUUGGGGUUAUGGAUCUAGGUUGCCAUUUUAGGAGCUAUUUCUUCAUAUAGGGGCAUAAGAGUGUUGCAUGAGUUUAAAGAUUGAACCUUUACGUGAUUAUUGGGUGUAAGAAGGUCAGAUCUAUAAGUUAGAGAAACAGAUCUGAUCUCAGAAGGUCUUUUCAGUGUUGCCAUGGAGGGAACUCGCCGAGUCCAUAUGGGGACUCAACGAGUCGAGUCAGGUUGCCCACAACUCGUGACCAGUGGUAACCCGUCGAGUGAAAGGUUAACUCGACGAGUCGAGUGAGGCUUUUGAGGAUUCAGAGGACACGCAUGGACUCGCCGAGUCACUCGAGUGCACUCGACGAGUCUGGUCAGAGUUGGCCGUUGACUUGAGUUGACUUCUGUUGACUUUGGGGUUUUGGUCAACAUAAGAUAUAGAGAUCAUAGAGGGGUAAAAUGGUCUUUUAUCCACUACCCGAUUAAAGAGGGAAAGAGGAAUUGUCGGUUUAAUUAGAGUUAUUUGCCUUAUGUGUUAGGCGGUGGCGAGUUCGAGAUUCAAAUGUAAGGAUAACUGCUUGCUGCUUUCAGGUGAGUCUUCUCACUAUACUUUGCCUUGAGUGGUAAUUAGGGUUAUGUGACAGAGUUAUUGUAUCCUAUUUAUGUGAUGUGUUGCACUGCAUUAUUUCUAUGUGAUUUAUGUUGUGUGUAUUCCAGAGCUUGACAGAGUCAGGACCGGAAGGCCCACAGAGUUAGAACCGGAAGGGUCACAGAGUUAGGACCAGAGGGUCCACAAAGUUAGGGCUCCAGGGCCCACAGAGUUAUAGCCUCGAGUGGCUAGUAUGUGUUAUGUGUGGUAUUUUGGGGAACUCACUAAGCUUCUUGCUUACCGUGUUAUGUGUUAUGUGUUUCAGGCUUUUAUCCGGAUCUCGGGACGACACCGGCUCGAUUGUACACACCAGAGGAGGAGUUAUGUUUUAGAGGAUCCUGGAUUAUUAUUUAAUUGUUUAUGGAGUUAUGUUUAGUAAUUUAAACAAAGUGAGAUUUUUGCAAAAAGGGUUUUAAGAAUUAAGCGAAUUUAAUGAAAAUUUUAAUUUUGAAAAUUUCGGUGUUACACAAACUAAUUGGACCCCUAGCUACCUUGUCUCAAUCUUAUAGUAUUAAAAUAGCCGAUGGUACCCAUGUUUUGGUGGGCCUCAUGUACCCGGAUUGUUCACUCGAAAUAAAUGGUCGAAAUUUCUCUAUUGAUUUACUCUCGAUGGGGAUUAAAGGGUUUGAUGUGAUAGUGGGAAUGGAUUGGAUGGGAGCUAAUGAUGCAAAAAUCUUGUGUGGAAAGUGGAUGGUCUCCAUCAAGGCCACCAAGGGUGUAAAGUUUUAUGUAUAUGGGAACCGGGACAACAAAUUUCCUUGUGUGAUAUCGGCCAUCAAAGCUCAAAAAUGCCUAUCAAAGGGAUGUGAAUCAUUCUUAGCCUAUUUCAUUAGUGGGAACCAAGAAAAGAAAAUUUUGAAGAAGUGAAGGUAGUUAGUGAGUUUCCCGAAGUCUUCCCCGAAGAUUUAUAUGGUUUACCUCCCAUAAGACAAGUUGAAUUUCGCAUUGAUCUAGUGUCGGGUGUAAACCCCAUUGCUCGUGCACCCUACCGUAUUCGAGAUCCAGAGAGCAGCAUGAGGAGCAUUUGAGGGAGAUCCUCGGAGUACUGAGAUCGGAGAGGCUUUACGCCAAAUUCUCCAAGUGUAAUUUCUGGUUGCGAGAGGUCCAGUUCCUUGGGCACCUCGUUAACCAGAAGGGGAUAUUGGUCGAUCCGGCCAAAGUGGAGGCAGUGAUGAGUUGGGAGGUGCCGAGGUCACCGUCCGAGAUCAGGAGUUUCUUAGGGUUGGCAAGCUAUUAUCGGAGAUUUAUCAGGGAUUUCUCCAAGAUCACCGUGCCAUUCACCAGGUUAACCCGGAAGGGUGUCGCUUUUUCAUGGGGACCAGAGCAGCAGACCUCCUUUGAGACGCUUCGCCAGAGGUUAUGUGAAGCCCCAGUGUUAGCCCUCCCAGAGGGGAUGGAGGACUUUGUGGUGUAUUGUGAUGCGUCGAUCUUGGGGUUGGGAGCGAUGCUGAUGCAGAGAGGGCAUGUGAUAGCAUACGCAUCGAGGCAGCUGAAGCCUCAUGAGUCGAGGUAUCCCACCCACGAUCUAGAGUUGGGGGCAGUGGUGUUCGCCCUCAAGAUUUCGCGUCACUAUCUGUACGGGGUUCGGUGUACGAUAUACACGGACCACAAGAGCCUAAAGUAUUUGAUUGACCAGCCCAACCUAAACAUGCGACAGAGGAGGUGGUUGGACGUGGUCAAGGAUUAUGAUUGUGAGAUUCAGUACCACCCGGGCAAGGCUAAUGUUGUAGCCGAUGCACUGAACCGUAGGGCGGAGGGCGCCCCAAUGCGAGAUGUUUGUUUGAGAUUGACAGUGAUGACCCCGGUGUUGGAUGCUAUUCGUGGGGCCCAGGCUGAGGCUGUGAGGCCAGAAAGCCAGAAGAGAGAGCGAGUUGUCNNNNNNNNNNNNNNNNNNNNNNNNNNNNNNNNNNNNNNNNNNNNNNNNNNNNNNNNNNNNNNNNNNNNNNNNNNNNNNNNNNNNNNNNNNNNNNNNNNNNNNNNNNNNNNNNNNNNNNNNNNNNNNNNNNNNNNNNNNNNNNNNNNNNNNNNNNNNNNNNNNNNNNNNNNNNNNNNNNNNNNNNNNNNNNNNNNNNNNNNNNNNNNNNNNNNNNNNNNNNNNNNNNNNNNNNNNNNNNNNNNNNNNNNNNNNNNNNNNNNNNNNNNNNNNNNNNNNNNNNNNNNNNNNNNNNNNNNNNNNNNNNNNNNNNNNNNNNNNNNNNNNNNNNNNNNNNNNNNNNNNNNNNNNNNNNNNNNNNNNNNNNNNNNNNNNNNNNNNNNNNNNNNNNNNNNNNNNNNNNNNNNNNNNNNNNNNNNNNNNNNNNNNNNNNNNNNNNNNNNNNNNNNNNNNNNNNNNNNNNNNNNUGGGCCGGGAUAGUGGUCACGGGGAGGAAGUUAGUGGGUUAUUUGGAUCAUGAUGAUGUCUGAGGACACUUCAGAGCGAACGAGCAAUUCAUACGCUCGAAGACAUGCUUCGGGCAUGUGUAUUAUAUCUCGGAGGGAGUUGCGGCACGUAUUUAUCUUUGGUUGAGUUAUCCUAUAUCAACAGCCAUCAUUAGUGCAUUUGUAUGCCACCCUUUGAGCUGUUGUAUGGGAGGAGGUGUCAAACUCCCAUUUGCUGGGGAGAGGUCGGGAAGCGUGUUAUGGGUAGUACAGAGAUUGUGCUGCAGACGACUGAGCAGAUACAGCAGGUCAGGCAGAGGUUAUUGACCGCUUAGAUUCGUCAGAAGAGUUAUGCGGACAGGCGCCGGUCCGAGCUCGAGUUCCAGGUCGGCGACUUUGUACUCCUGAAGGUCUCUCCUUGGAAUGGAGUGAUCCGAUUAAGGAAGAGGGGCAAGUUGCGGCCCCGUUAUAUCGGUCCUUUUCGGGUGAUUGCAAGGGUAGGCAGGGUAGCCUACUGAUUGGAGCUACCUGUAGAGUUAGGUCAGAUCCAUGACACUUUCCACGUGUCACAAUUGCGGAAGUGUAUAUCCAAUGAGUCGGCAGUGGUAUCAUUGGAGGAUAUUCAGGUGGAUGCGAGCCUGAAUUAUGCUGAGAGAGCGGUGGCAAUCAGAGAUCUGAAGAUCAAGGUUUUGAGGAACAAGGAGGUACCUUUGGUUUUGGUUCUGUGGCAACAUCGAAAGGGGUCUGAGAUAACUUGGGAGUUAGAGUCGGAGAUGUGAGGGCAUCAUCCAGAGUUGUUCGAGGAAUGAGACUUUGAGGGCGAAGUCUAGUUCUAGUGGGGGAGAAUUGUAACACCCCGAGAUUCAGGUAUAUUCCUUUCAUCCUUGUUUUUUAUUGUUUGGGCAUGUUUAGUCCUUGAGUGGAGGGUAUGUAGCAAGUGAGUACGCUGGGCGUACCAGAGGGGUACGCUGCGCGUACUCACAUGCUUAAUUUGGACGCGGAGUCGGCAAGGUACGCUGGGCGUACCUAGAGUUACGCCGGGCGUACCCGGCCCAGGUGCAAAAACCCUAAUCCUCCUUGUGCACUAUUUAAAGGGUGUUAUGGCUCAUUCCUUAGCCUCCAUAUCAGUGAGAGAAACCCUAAAAGAGAUCCCCAUUGUUCUUAGUGUGUGAGAGUGUUGAUUUGAGCUUGUUGGUGCUUUAGUGGCUUAGUGAAGAAGAAGGAAGGGAGUUCUUGGAGGCUAAAGCUUGAGGUGCCAUUUUGGAUAUGAGAUCUGCAGAGGAAAGGGCUACACUUGGAGGUAUAAAGUUCAAAACUUUCCUCUUCUUUUGUUUGUUGUUGUAUGUGACCUUUUUAGGGCUAAAAACCCCAAAGGUGGAGACUUUAUGAGUGUAAAGUGCUCCAUGGUCCGAGAUAUGUCCCUUUUCAGUGUUACUAGUGAUUUAGAGCCAUAAAGAUCCCAUGUUGGAUGUUACUUUGGAGUCAUGCAUGUGUUUUAAGCCUCUAGAGUUGAAGGUUGGAUCAUUUUGGGAGAUAGUGACUUGUUCAGCCAUGCAAAGGCUUAAAGUCAUCAACUUUAUGGAUUAAGGGGCUUAGAUGGGGCCAGAUCUAAAAUAUGGACGUAGGUCUUAACUGUUUAAGACCUCAAGAGCAAAAGGGCUGAAGCAGGGGAGUACGUCGGGCGUAAUCCCUAGUACGCACCGCGUACUAGGUGGCGCUCCCCGAUUCUAAGAUGCAGCCGGGUACGCUCAGCGUACACAUCUGGUACGCACAGCGUAACCCGGUGAGUUGACUUUUAGGGUAUGGUCUAUUAUGGGGCCUUUGAGCUAUGAGAGGGGUAAAAUGGUCUUUUACCCUUCUGAGAGUGUCAUAAGAGAGUAUAGUCUAGCCUUUGAGAGGUAUAUUAAAUAGAGUGUUAUUUUCAUAUGAUUAGGCGGAGGCUAGGCCAGCGUUUACCGAGUCAGAGAUUUACCGAGAUACCCGAGGUGAGUCUUCUCACUAUACUUUACCUAGUGUGGUAAUAGAGUUAAGAGACAGAGUAUUAUAGAGUUAUAUGCCAGUGUGAUUGCAUGUUAUUGUGUGUUGUGAUUUAUUGUGAUAUGUGAUAUGCAUAAUUCAGAGUUAUAGAGUUGGGACUUUCGGGUCCCUAGAGUUAGGGCCAGAGGGCCCACAGAGAGUUGGGGCUGGAGGGCCCCACUGAGACACAUUGACCAGAGGGUCAACAGAGUUACAGCCUCGAGUGGCUAUUAUGUGAUUAGUGUGGUAUCUUGGGGAACUCACUAAGCUUAUGCUUACAGUGUUCAGUGUUAUGUGUUUCAGGUACCAGUGAUGACCGCGGGAAGGUGCCGGCUUGAUUCGUACACACACAUGGGAUUGGAUGUAUUUUGAUCUUGGGAGGCAUUUAUGAAAUAAAAACAUGAUGUUAUGACAUUUUAUGAAUGAAUGGUUUUAAUUAAAAUGUGUUUUUCAAUGUGAAAAAUUGUUUUAAUUUUUACGGUGUCAGGAUUACUCUCAACGUACGCCCUAGUUUCACACUCCUCUCAUUUUUGGUCUUAACUAGUUAAGACAUAGGCUCAUAUCUCAGAUCUGGACUCCCUAAUGUCUCUUAGUCCAUGAAGUCAGUGACUUUAAGCCUUUGCAUGGCUGAUUAGGUCACAAACACUCAAAACACCCAUUGCCUUUCCUUAUGUAGCCCAUAACUCUUGCAUGACUCACUCGUAACGUCCAAGAUUGGAUUUUUAUGACUCUACUACACACAAGACACUGAAAAGGGGUAAAUCAAGGCCUCUGGAGUUCAUUAUCUCAUAAAGUCUCCAUCUUUUUGGGCAAAACCCUAAUAUACUCAAACAACAUGCUCAUGACAAAGGAAAGGCAAAGUAUGAAGCUUUAUACCUCAAUAAGAAGCUUCCCACUCAGAUUUGCUUGGAUCUAGAAACUUGGACUCCAAUUCCUUCUUCUUCAAGACCUUCUCUUCUCUUUAAAAUCACACAAACACUCUCAAGGAUCAAUCACACACACAUAAGCUCUAAAACGAGGGUUAGGGUACCCUUAGGGUCUUCUCUCUAGGAAUGGUGGCUAGAAAUGAGGCCAUCAUAUCCCUUAUAUAGGGGACUCACCCUAAAUUAGGGUUUGCACUCUGGGUCUAGUACGUCCAACGUACUCACGAGUACGCCCAGUGUACUAGGUGGUCUCAGCGUCACAUGCACGCUGACGAGUACGGUAAGCGUACACCUCAGGUACGCCCCGCGUGCUCGUUUUUCACCCUUUUUAUAAUAAGGGCAAAAAUAGACAAUAGCUCAAUAGAUCAAGGUUCUCGAAUUAUACCUGGACUUGGGAUGUUAUACUUAACAUGUUCAACAUGUUUAUUUUUUCAUAUAUUUGUACCAUUUUUAAUCUCACAUCACAAAAUUUAAUCGCAAGAAAAUUCAUUUUGUAAUAGCUAAAAUGCUUUAAAAUUUUCUCAUCUCUAAUGGUAUCAACAAUUAUCCUUAUUUUUCAUCUCCUUGUUUGAUCAAAUCCCUCCAAAAAUUAAGGUAAUGGGUGUAAAAGAUAGGGAUGUCAACGGGGACAAACAGGACGGGGAGUGCAUCAUCCGUCUCCGCCUCCGAAAUUUCCCCGUUCCCCCACCCCUGCCCCUGCCCCCGAAAUGUUCAGCCUUCCUACCCCCGCCGCUGCCCCCGAAUCCCCUUUAUCACCUCCGCCCCCGAUUUAUUUUGGGCUGUCUUUUUUUUUUUUGCUAAAAAAAGCUCUUUUUCACAUAACAAAUAUUUAUUUAUAGCAAAGUUUUACAUGUUAAAAAAAAUUAUGGCAUCUUAUAAACAUUAUACUAACAACUUAAAAACAUGUUUUUUUGUUGAAUUUGGAUGCUCAAANAAUGGGGGCACCAUGGGGUUUCAGGACGGGACAGCCCACCCCACCCCUACCUCCAAAAUUAAAACGGGGGUUAAUCUUGCCCACACCCCCGUCCACGCCCCCGAUUUUUUUAAUAAAUACAUUCAAACGUGAUGGGGCCCGCAUAGAAACGGGGUCCCACAAGACUUUUUGACAUCCCUAUAAAAAGAGCCUCUCUACACUCCAUCAACCUUUGCAAAAAAAUGUAUUGAGAUUUAAAUCUUGUCUUUGUCACUUUUAAUAACUCUGAUCAUCAAACGUGCUUAUUAUUAAAAAGUAUUUAACAAUCAUUUUCCUCUGCUAUAUGUAUUUGUCAACCAGUAGAACUCAUUUGCAAAAUCUUUGAAAAUUAAGGUUCAACGUUGAAUGUGUCACACCCCCAAACCAGACGGCGGAAACGUCCAGGGGUGGAGGACUUCAUUUGUAGUAUCACAACACAUGUAUCAUAGUAAUCAAAGCACAAACAACCAUUGUAUUUAAAAGUAUAAUAUUUACAUGUGUUCAAUCAUUGUAUAUUGAAACCAAAAUAGUUAUACAAAAGAAGAAGAUAAGACUCCUAAUGGCUCCAUCUUCUCAAAAAGCUUGGGGAGUACCUGUUAUUAUUUCCAUGAUAAUACAAGUAAUUUGAAAAGAGAGUAUCAACAAUAAGUUGAGUGAGUACAUAAGUCUUUAUGUUUGAAUGGGUGUCUUUGUAUUUUGAAUAUGAAAACACUUCUUGAAAAUCCCAUAUUUUCUGUGGUAUGUGAAAAGUAGUUUUAUUCCCAUAAAACCGUCCUAUUUGUAAACCAAUGUCUUUGUAAAACUUGUAUUUGAGAGUGUGUGUGGCUUCACCAGUUGUUGUUGAAAACUAUAGUAUACCAUUGUACUUUGCAUUUUGUAAACUGGUACUUUGAAGAUAUACUUACGUUUAAUUAUUUAUACACUAACGUGUUGUUAAUAUCUUUUUAAUGAGUUAUUAUAACCAUACUAAGACAUGAAUGCCUGAAACAAACGCCUGAUGAGCGCUUAAACUGUUGAUAACAAUUGUCACUCAUUGGCGUGUAUGCCUGACUGUAGCUAGCAGCCUGAGUGCGGGGUUGUCAAUCCCGAUAUAGAUCUACACACAACUUGUUUCGAUCCCCGGACUGGAGAUUCUGGUUAUAAUGUCAGGGCUUUACUUUGGUUGUCUAAACUGAAUUAAACAACCUGAAUUGAAUGUCUCAUAAAAAACAUAUAAACGUUACAUGUAUAUUAGUUAUGAAAACCCAAUCAUUCGGAAAUAAAUGAUUGACAGUAUAUUCUUGACUUAGUAUCCCGAACAUGUAUUUGAUAAGUGUAAAGCCUUGAUUUGUUUUGAAUUAAAACCCUUGUUGCAUGUAAAACAGUGUAUUCAUAUGAAUUAUAGCUCUACGUAUCAUAAAUUAUACCUAUUAUAAUUUAUACGUACUUUAGGAACUGGUAAAUAACUAUUUUUGCAUGUAAUCCUUUGCUCAACAUAUUACAAAGGUUAAUUAAACUGAUGAAAUAACUUUUAUAUUUAUAUACAUAUACAAUUUUAUAUAUAGGUAAAAUUUAAACGACCUUCGGACAAAUAACCGGUACUAUAAGUCCACAUCCAAACAAGGAAAAGGACCUAGAAUGAAUUAUUAGUCCUAAGCCUUUUAAAUCUUAUUUAUAUUAAAUUAUAUAUACAAAUAUGUAUAUUUGGGAAAAAUAUAAGUUUAUAAAAGAGUUCAAUAUUUGAAGUAUUUUUGAUGCUUUAAAAUCAUUUUAUCGUGAUUUGAAAUCAUUUAUUUAUAACACAAAGUUGUUGUGUUAUACUUGUAUUCCCCCCCUUAAAACAGUAGAAAUUAUGAAAAUACGGGGGUAUGAACUCACUUCAUAGGUGGUAAUUCGGACAGAGUUUCGUUUCACGAAAAGGAGUUUAUUUGUCGAGAAACCGGCUCAAAUCGGGCAGAGUUUUGACAGGAGAGAGGAUGAAUUCUCGAGAAUUUCGGGGCUUCACGGCUUACUUCGGGCUCGAGUCUUGAUACCGGGGCUUUAGGGGUUGUAUAUGAGUUUAAGGGAGUAGAAAAUGUGAAAGAGUGAGAAAUUUAGGGUGAAAAGUGAAAAUUAUUCGGAAGCCCUCGCAUGCUAUAUAUAGCCCGAAGGCUCGGACCCGAAGCAAUGCGAGGGUGACACGCGUCUGACAGGUGGCGAGGCGAAGGAAGUUCUUCGGACCGGACGCUGCUGGAUGGCUCGGAUUGGUCUAACCCUCGGUCCAAUGGAAAAAAGGCACGUGCAAAGGGGGCUGGUCUGAGGCGUGCGAGGGGUGUGCGAGGAGCAUGCGAGGGUGAGGUCCGGUGUGUCUCAUGCGAGGCUGUCCGGUUCUUACUAGACCUCGGACUUGGUCAAAUCAGAAGGUGACACGCGAGACAUCGGUGCACUCAGCAGCCGACACGUGGAGGCCUCGCAUGCGAGGGUGACGUGGCAGUUACUGUUCAUGCGAAUAUUCCCGGUUUUUGGUAUUUUUCUUUAUUUUUUUUGCCAAAACUUGUAAAAUUCAUAACUUUUGCAUACGAACUCCGUUUUUGACGUUCUUUAUAUGCAUGCGUAGGUAAAAUUAUAUUCUAUGACUUUUGUUUAGACUUCGUCGGCUAAUUUUGAAUUUAUUUUUAAUAUUAUUAUUUUAAACAGACCGGGAUGUGAAUCCGUUAUAAAUUCAUAACUUCUUCAUACGACGUCCGUUUUUGUCUGUCUUUUUACCGCUGUACUACUAAUGACGAGACCUUCAAUUCUCGUUUAGGUUGUGUCAGCUAAAAACCACUCGAUCUUUAUUUUGAGUUUUAGCUGUACUGAAACUUAGAAAAAUCAUAACUUCCUCAUACGAAGUCAGAUUUUGGCGUUCUUUUUAUGAAAGUUCUCGGUUUAACAUAAACUGUAACUUUCAUUUAGAUUGUUAAGGCUAGAAAGCCUUUUAUCAAAAAUUCAGUUUUUACACUGAACAGUGUUUUGUCGGUUUUGUCGCGGAUUUCCGAUUGGUCAUAACUUCUUCGUUAUAACUCGGAUUUUAGUGUCUUUAUAUUUUUGGAAACCUUGUUACAAUCUCUAUCACUUGUUUCAACCCAAUUGAGAUUAUUUAAUAAUUUAUUUUGAGGGUCAAUUAUGUAAAUAUACAUAGUAUGCCAAAAUUUCUCUUUAUUAAUUUACAAAUAAGUACAAAUUGACCUACACUAUUACAUAGGUUUGAAAUAAUGGUUUGUUAUAGAAUGCAACAAGGAUACCAACUAAUGUGUUUGUGUACUUUCUCAAUAUCCUUGCUAGUGGCCUGACAACUUGUUGCAUUGCCUGUAUCGACUUAGAAGGGCAUUGCUCCAUCGUAUUGUUUCAACAGCUUCGAGCAAAUAGUUUGCUCUUAUAAUUCAUGUUUUUCUAUACCAGAAAAAUCAUCUGUGUACAUAAACAUUCAUCCACGACUAUUCCUGGAAAUGACAUUAAUAAGUGGUUUGUGUUUGACGUUUGACCGCCCGUUGUAAACGAUUGGAACUCCUUUCAAAUACGAUGUAUAUUUAAUAGGAAUUGAUUUUUUUCUGUCUCUAUGGCAUUAAUCAAGCAAAACCGUUAUUGUGUUCUCGCUUAAGGGAGGUUUAUAACCAGCAGGUGCUUUGUUAAUUGCACUCACCAAUUUUAGAAAUUGAGAAAUUCUAAACACGUUAAACAUAAUUUAAUUUGCGCAAAGACCUCGAAUAAUCUUUAAGCCGACAAAGUUUUUCUCCAUUACUCAAAAUACAUCUUCAAUUGGUUUUUUAGAAGAGGAAGUUGGUUUAUAAUAAUUACAUAGUUUUUCAAAAUACAACAUACCAACUUUGUUCAUCAACCUUCAUAUAUACUUUGUUAAUUGCACUUACCAUCUCCAGAUUUGAGGAUUUCGUAACAUGUGAAACGAAAUAACAUUUGCAUAAAGACCUCUCAUAAUCUUCAAGUCAACCAUGUUUUUUUCCGUUACACCAAAUGCAUAUUUAAUUGGUUUCUUAGAAAAAGAGCAAGAGAAAGACUGGUUUUCAAUAAUUACAUAGUUUUUAAAGUACAAGACACAACUUUUCAGCAACUCUAUCUUUUUUUAUUAACUUUUCAUAUGUGCUUUGUUGAUUGCACUUAUUAUCUCAAGGAAGAGGAAAAUUAUGUUUUGGUAAUAACAAAGUUGAUGAACAAAUUCAUAAGAAGUAUGAAGAGACAAACAGUUGUAUUAAACGAUCACAAGUAUGAAAGGUUGAAGAACAAAGACUGAGUUGCUAAAAGAUCGCAACAAGUAUGAAAGGUUGAUGAACAAAGUCAGAAAUAGUUGGUGUCUCGUAUUUCAAAAAACUUUGUAAUUAAUAAAAAAUACUCUUCUUAUUCCUGUUCUUCAAAGACGCCAAUUGAAGAUGCAUUUGGUGUAAUCGAAAGAAAUGUUGUUGACUUGAAGAUUAUGAGAACUGUGUACUAAAAUGAUAUUCUAUAUAACAUGUUACACAAUCCCUAAUUUGUGGAGAUGGUAAGUGCAAUAAAAAAAAACUUGCAGGUUAUAAACCUCCCUCAAGCAAGAAAGCAAGAACUGUUUUGCUUGAUGAAUGUCACAAAGAUGUAGAAAAAGAUUUAACUCCUAUUAAGGAUACAUGGUAUUCGUAAGGCUACUUGCAACUUUGCAAGGAAAUUAAGAAAGUACACAAACAUAUUUUUUGGUCUCCUUGUUACGUUCAUGCAUUGAACAUAAUUUUCAAAGAUCUUGCUAAUUAGUUAUAUUUGUUGACAAAUACAUAUAAGAGAGGGAAGUGAUUGUUAAAUGCUUCUUAAUUAUGAUCACGCCUUGACAAUUUUUAGAGAUAACUAAAAGUUAGAGUUAUUAAAAGUGGAAAAGGAAAUAUACACACCUCAUUAUAUUUUGAUGAAAAUGUUUAAGUUAUUGUAGAGAGACUCUUUCUACAAUUAUUGCCCUUAACUUUUGGAGGGAUUUAGUCAAAGUGUCAAAUAAACAAUAAACAAGGAGAUGAAACCACUAGGAUAACAGGAGCAAUGGUUUUUGACACUAUUUGAAGUGAGAAAUUUUAGGAGGAUGUGGAAAACAUUUUAACUAUAACAAAGCCGAUCUUCUUUUUGAUCAAAUUUUAUGAUGGCGAAGGAUAAAUAAAUGGAAGAUAUCUAUGAAAAAUAGACAACAUGUUGCGAGAAAUUAAGGAUGUUGUGUCGAAUAACAAAUACGCUACGUACUACCGUUUGAGAAGAUCUUACUAGCCAGGUGGCAGAAGAUGACUAUUCCUUUACAAUAUGUUGGCUUUGCUUUAUCUCCGCAUUUCUAUGACAUAUUAUCUUGAGAAGUUAACAACCAGUGAAAUUGUUAGAAAAUCUCCUAAUUUAUACAUGUGACAACCCAAAAUCUAUUCCGUCGUUAUAAACCGUUUCCGUUAAUAGAAUAUUCUAUUUUAUAAAGGUUUUGUUAAUUUGGGGUAGAGAAAACAAUAAAUGUUUUAUUUUAUUUCAUUUUAUGCUAUUAACGUCGUAAUGAAAUAAAUAAAAACACGUGAAUUACCCUUCCAUUUAGUUGGAAAAACUUUAUUUUUAAUUACGACCAUUUAACCGGGUAAAACUUUAAACCUCGUUUAACAUAAGUAUCGGGUAAUUGUAUACCGGGUACAAUACUCAAGCCCUAUAUAAGGGUGAGUGGACACUCUUUUGAACCUUUUACCACACUAGACACACACUCUCUCUCUACACUCUCACCUUAAGUCUGAUUUCAUCCCAAAAACUGCAAGUUUCCGCCUCCAAAACGUAAGUUCCCUUACCCUAACUUGUUCUACAACCCAUUGCAUGUAGUUAUAGCUCAAAAAUCAUUCAAGAAGGCCUAAGAUAAGGAGUUUAUGGCCUAAGAACAUCCUUAGGCCGUAAACCCCUAAAAAGAUGCCAAACAUGCCCAAUUUUUCUCCCCUUUAGGCUUAGAAAUUAGUUUAGGAUUAAACCUUGAAGUGUUUGAGUCAUGAAUCAUCAAGUUUAGGGGCUUGAAAGAGGGUUUACGGCCCAAGAACAUCCUUAGGCCGUAAACUCCCUAUAAACAUGCAAAUCAAGCCUCAAAGCCCUUCCAAACCACAUUUGGAGUUAGAUAUGACUUAGGGACUUACAAUUUCGGACUUGGAACACCUAAACCCUAUCAUUUGAAGGGUAAACAAGAGUUUACGGCCCAAGCAUAUGCUUAGACCAUAAACUCCCUAAAACCAUGCCAAAUGAGCCUUUAAACCCCUAAAUAGCCUUAUACAUUCACUUAGAAAUUGUUAGGAAUAAGCCAAGGACCUCAAGAUCGAAGAAUGGAGGGUGUCCAAGAGUUCACGGCCUAAGCCAUGGGGCUUACGACCGUAAACUCCCAAGGAGUGGUCCUAGGACCGUAAACUCCAAGGGAGUGCUCUUUUGGAACCUUAAACACCCUUCUAGCCUUGUAUAUUUCCUUGGAAUCCCUUCUAGAGCAACAAGGGUCUUGAAAUCACUCAAUUACACUCCUCCCAUGAGUUUACGGCCGUAAACUCAUGGGGGAGGUGGUCUCCCAGCUGUAAACUCACCAAAGGUGGGUUUGUGAGGAGUAAACUCCAUAGUGAGGCCUAAAACUCCUUCCUUGAAACCCAUUAGCCUUCUAGCACUCAACCAUAGAGCUUUUAUUCACAUUAGGAUUUCUAUAUGUGUUUAAUUCGAGUUUAAAUCACUAAUUACUUGUAAACAUAUGUCUUCAUAUGUUACUAGGGUCAUAAAGGGUGUGCAAGUCUUUAUUUGACACCAAACGCUCAUCCGAUAUUUCCACCCGAUCUACUCAUUGCAGGUGAGUUCAUACCCCCUUAAUGAACCUUUUCAAAUGUUUUUACAUUUUUUAGGGGGGGGGGGGGAUACAAGUAUAAUGCUUCAAGUUUUAUUAUCAAAUCAUAUGUGAUUCAUAACUCACCAUCAAAAAGGGUUUUUCUAUACUUUUAACUACUUAUAAAUAAAACUGUUUUAAAUAAUUAUCAAAUGCAUUUUAAGGUUAAAUUGUUGUUAAACUAUGUUCAAACUGAAUUUAAACUACUUUCCUUUUAAAAUAUAUCUACACUAAUAUAUUUAUAUAAGUAAGACUUGAAGGACUUAGGACCGAUAGCUCGCCUUAUUUCCUGCUCUUGUUUGAUGUGGCCUUAGGGUAUCUGUUAUCCGUCCGACUGUCGUUGAUUUCUUAGUUAUAUAUCAUAUAUAUUCGUGUUAGAUAUGAAAGUCUUCAUCUUAUUCAAUACCUUUGUUAAUCAAAGGCAGGAAACCAUACACACUAGUUAACUAUAAUAUGUAUAGUUAAGACUACCGCUCGUUACCUCUAUUACUACUAUACUCACUAUAACUGCUACAAUUACAAGUUAAUGUACGUACAAGAGAACACUCUAUGUACUAUACUAAAAGUCUACCAUACUAUAACGCAAGAGAAUACACUAAUCCAGAGUAUAACACACAAUCCCUCUACAAGGCACUCUACCGCGCUUACACCAUGUGACCAGGGCUUCCCGAAAGGAAAGCAACACUACAUGUAUAGAUCUAUACAGGACGGACGCUAUUACAUCCCGACUGUUAACUACAGUCCGAGCCGACUAGGCCCAGGGGUGGCACUACCUCACUACACUACGUAUGACCGGGAAGGUCAUCGGGCUCUCUAUUAUCAUUUAGUUGGUUACAUAAGGAGUUACAUCCAUAUCCAAAUUAAAACACUAAGACUUAAAGUCUAAACUAAUAUCCCAAAGUAAAUAAAUAUCUAUAACUAAUUGAAGUUUACAUCACUACUACAGUCAGCAGGCAUAACUUUUCCUCAUCUAUGUUACUUAAAUGAAAUUUAUUACUUUAUUUUUAUAACUGAAGGUUUCAAUGAUAAUACUUUUACACACUCAAAGGAUUUAACUUACAAAAGUACAUUUCUGGAAAAUAUAGGAUUUUCUAGGGAUUUCUACUACUCACAAACAUAAAUUUCAGUUUUCACAUUACAUGUUUGUAAACACUUUUACACAAACAACGACACUAAAUUCUUAUGAACUAACCAGCUUUAUGCUGAUACUCGUUUUCAAAAUAACUUGUAUCCUCAGGUCAAAGAUAGACAUGUACUGGUGUAGCUUUUGAGAAGAUGGAGCAUAUUCAAGACCCGUCUUUUAUUUUUGUUAUACUUUUGGUGUCUAUUAAACUAUACAGAACACAUUUGUAAUUAAACUUACUAUACAAAUGCAAUGGUUGUUGUCGCUUGUUUUUACUAUUAUGCAAUUGUUAUGAUACUGUACAUGACGUCCUCCACCCCAGAACGUAUUCCGCCGUUCUCGGUUUUGGGGUGUGACAAUACAAAAAAAGUGGUAUUUCGUGUUAUAGAAACUUUUGAAAGAAUAACUAAAAGUCAAGAAGAGUGUGUGUUGCGAGAGAAAUUUGCAACAUUCCACAUGAAAAAGGCUUUAUUCAAUGGCAACAACUUAAAUGGAUAUAGUGACCCUGAACAUGUUUGAUUGGUGGUCAAGUUAUGGUUUAGAAACUCCCGAGUUGGAUGAAGUUACAAAAAAAAGUUCAUUCGCAACCCAUUACCAGUUAUUCGGCACAAAGAAGUUGGAGCACCUACUCUUACUAUUAUAUUGAUAGUGUGAAAAGAAAUUGUAAAAAAGGCCGACAAAUUGGUGUUUAUCGACUCAAAUACUCGCUUGCAAUUAUGCUUUUCUGAAUAUUAUAAACUGGACCCACUAAAAAAUGGUAUGUAAAUCUAGAAAAGUCACCCAACAUGUAUCUAAAUCCUUACAACAUCCUAAAUUGCUUUAUUAAAAAAAUUAGUAUUAAUACAAUAAUAAAGUUCUUGAAUCACAUUUAAUACAUUAGUUAUUUAUAUUUAUUCAUGAACGAUGGAAAAUAAGUGUUAAACUCACAUCUUUCUGCAUCUCAUUAUACAUAGGCACAUUUGCACCCGAUGCUUACCACAUUAAGUCAUGUCCCCAUUGAGUCUGUUUAGUAAGAAACACCAUCUAAGUAUAUUAAAUAAGAUAUAACAAUUAAAAACAAACCUAAAUUUAAAGCAAUUAUGUAGUUUUACCUUGUCAUCAGCCACCACCAUGAAACAAUUGUUUAUUGAAAGCUAAAAAAUUCCACCCUUUAGCUCUCCAAUAGUUUUGUGCAUUUUCAUCAUGUUGCACUUUCUUGAUCUUUAAAAAUAGUGUAUAAGCCAUUUAUACUUUGUUUGAAACAAGUAGUUUGUUACUCAACUUAGCAUAUAUAAGCCUACUAGGACAAAUCUCUUUCUUCAAACACUCCUCCAUGACUAUCACAUCAUUUUCAAGUUGACCAUUAUUGCAAAGCCCAUUGAUGAUGUAUUCGUAAACUUCUACAUUAGAAAAAUAACCACUUUCUUGCAUCUCAUCCCAUACAUUUAAAAGCAUACCUCGUUUACCAAAUCUUGAAAGUCUCAUAAGCAGAAUAUUGUAAGCACUUAAUGAUACUACACUCCUUGCAUCUCUUGCUUUUUUUAUAUCAUCAUAGUAGCAUGUGGUGGGCCAUAACUACAUAGAAACUCAAUAAACAAGGUUACUAUUCCAGUUGUGGGAAUGAUCCCUUGACCUAUCAUUUCAUCAAACAUUUCAAGAGCAUCUGCUACCAUUCGAGCUUUAAGAAAAGCAGAGAUUAUUGAGACAUAAGUGUCCAAACCCUUUCAAGAACUGUAUUAUAACUAUCAACAUCCCCAAAUACCUUCCCUUGUUCAAUAGCCCACUUGAAAAACGUAACCAUAGACCCCCCCCCAUCUAAACCCCCUAUGUUCAAUACUUUAGCAACUAAAUCAGAAGUCACUUCAAGAUCAACAUCGGCUACUGUUAAAGCUCGUUUAAUUUUAGUUUUCACAUUCAAUUUCUGAAUGAAAAUCCCUCUCGGCUUGUCUUCAAGUGAUAGCAACAUCUCUAGAUUUUUGUGCAGUUGAGUUGGGUCUGACCUAGGUUUUCCAAUUGAAUGUGUAUUGCAAUGGAAGAUGGGUAAAAGAACAGAUAAUUGAUCCAACACAUGGUGUUCAUCGAUAUUGACAUUGUUUACAUUAGGUUUUGUAUCAUUUGAGCUCAAUAGAUCAAUUGGUUGUGUUGAAUAUCAUUCAAAAAAUACCAUUCAAGUUUGGUGUGUCCAAAAAACACCACCCAAGUAAAGCGUUUGUACAAAAAACACCAACAAAGUACAUUCUUUGUUCAAAUUUGACCUUGUGGUAACCGACAAUUACCGGUAAAAAAUAAGUAAAGGAAAAAAAAGAUGAAAUGACUCAAAGGGGUAACCAUGUUUCAAAAAACACCAUCCAAGUUUGGUAUGCUCAAAAAACACCAUCCAAGUAAACUUUUGUACAAAAAACACCAACAAACUAUACAUUUUGUUGAAAUAUUACCCACCGGUAACUGGCUCUUAUAAGUUAAAUGAUGACUUGGCUUAACUAUUAUGACAUGGCAUAACAAUUGUUGACAAAACAAUAAAUGAUAUAUUCCUUCAUUAAAAGUCGAUUUAGGGUUUCUUUAUGAACGAAUGACUUCUUCUUCUCCUAUGAUUGCUCUUUUCUUCUAAAGUGAUUAUCUCAAACUCAAGUCCAAAACCCUAAUUCUUGACUUAAGGAAAAAAGGUCUCCUUCACCCUUGCCUUAAUGGGCUUCCUCCUCUAAAGGCCCAAAUCUAUAAAAAGCCCAAAAAGGCAUCCAAGCCCAACUACAAGGCCCUUAAGGCCCAAUAUGGCCCAAGAACCCCCAACAUGGUCUUAAGCCCAAAAAAUGACCUGCUACAAUCAGGUGGGCCCGAGGCCUAACUUAAACAAGUCCAUGCAUAUGCCCAACAUAUGUUAAAGCCUCUACGAUCUGGAUGUUAAGCCAGUAGGCCUGACGUACUCCUAGCGUACGCCCAACAUACUCGGCUAGGGUCAAGAACCACAAAUCUUCCAAAAGCCAUAACUUCUUCAUUCUAAGUCGGAUUUCGUCAUUCUUUAUAUCAACGGGAUCUAAUUUAGGCAUCAGACAGCCAUACAGAGGAUUAUGGCCAUCAGAUUGCGAUUCUUAGUGUUACCAUAAUGCUAAAUUAGAUUUCAUCAUCCCGGGGUCCAACUGAGGGUUAUGGCCUUCGAAAACAAAAUCGAAAUCUAAUUUAGACCCCGACAUAGCUCUCUGAUGCCUAAAUUAUAUUGUGAUUCUUAGUGUUACCUUAAUGCUAUGUAUGCUAUCUCUUUUUUGCCUUACCUUACACUGCCUCAAAUAUCAUGUCUUUGGGGUAUUUAUAGGUUGCUCGUUGUUAGAAGAGUUUAUAGUCUUGACCGGUCCUUCAUUUAUUAUCCGGUCUAAAGACAGGCACAUCUCUUGUCAUUUCCUUGUUAUUUUAUUAUUUUGUACCAUUUCUUUUGCAUGUUUCCUGAGAUAUGGUUCUAAUACUUGUGUACGAUGUAUUUAAGUUUAUAUUUGUUCGUAACAAGUCGUGGUCUCUGUAACGCCCAUUUGGUGAUGGAUAAUGUAGGUUGUGGGGACAGAGUAUUUGGUUUGUGUUGGAGCCCAAGGGCAUAUCGGUAAGUAUCAAUUCGAGCCUUUAUGAAGUUUGGGUUUAUGUUAGAAAAUUUUUAAGGAAAGGGAGAGUUGAUAGAAGUGUAGAGCUUCUCGUUUCCUUCCCGUGGUAUAAAGAAUGACGAAAUCAGACUUAGAAUGAAGAAGUUAUGACCUACAAAAAAUUGGCAGUUCUUGACCCUAGCCGAGUACGCCGGGCGUACGGUAGGAGUACGUCGGGCGUACUGGCUUGAAAUCCGGAUCGCAGAGGCUUCAACAUAUGUUGGGCAUAUGCAUGGACUUGUUUAAGUUAGGCCUCAAGCCCACCUGAUUGUAGCAGGUCAUUUUUUGGGCUUAAGGCAAUGUUGGGGGUUCUUGGGCCAUAUUGGGCCUUAGAGGCCUUGUAAUUGGGCUUGGAUGCUUUUUGGGCUUUUAUGGAUUUGGGCCUUAGGGGGAGGGAGGCCCACUGACGCAUGGAUAGAGGACCCCUUUUUGCCUUAUAUCAAGAAUUAAGGUUUUGGACUUGAGUUCGAGAUCAUCACUUUAGAAGAAGAACAAUCAUAGGAGAAAAAGAAGUCAUUCGUUCAUGAAGAAACCCUAUAUCGAUUUUUAAACGAGGAAUAUAUCAUUUAUUGUUUUGUCGCUAAUUAUUAUGUCAUGUCAUAAUAGUUAAGCCAAGUCAUCAUUUAACCUGUAAGAGCCAGUUACCGAUGGAUAAUAUUUGAACAAAACAUAUAGUUUGUUUGUGUUUUUUGUACAAAAAGUUUACUUGGAUAGUGUUUUUUGAAUAUACCAAACUUAGAUGGUAUUUUUUUGAACGAUUUUGAAACAUAGUUACCCCUUUGAGUCAUUUCCUCUUGUUUUUUUCCUUUACUUAUUUUUUACCGGUAAUUGCCGGUUACCACAAUGUCAAAUUGAACAAAAAAUAUACUUCGUUGGUGUUUUUUGUACAAAUGCUUUACUUAAAUGGUGUUUUUUGAGCAUACCAACUUAAAUGAUAUUUUUUGAACGAUUUUAUAACAUAGUUACCAUAUAAGUCAUUUUCCCUUUUGCUAAACCUAGCAAGCAACAUGAUACAAAUUUAAGGGAUAUUUACAAAAAUAAUGAACGAAGGACUUACAAAAAAAGUUUUUGUGUUUGGGGAGAAUGAUUUUUAUAGUGGAUUAUUUGGGAUUAACUUUAUAUUAUAGUAAAAAAAAUCUUGAUUUCACCAAAAUAAAUAAUAAUAAAAUAUUAGAAUUUCAAGAAAAAGUCUAAAAUUUGAUGAAUAAUUGGGAAUAUCAAGAAAAUGUUUUGUUUUGUUUAUUAAAAUCUAACAAAAAAAAAACAUAACAAAUUUUGAAAUAGAUAUGAUACAAAGGCUUAAAAUGUGACAUUUGAUUGAAAACCAAAUGAAUUUGGACACUUCGAAAUGACUAUUUACAUUAGUGAAACCAGUUCUUUGAAAAAUGUUUGAUGAAAAAAAAAAGUCACAUUAUAUUUUGCUUGUGUGUCCGAAAUGACCCAUUUCAAAGAAAGAGAUCAUUUUUUCAAAGCACAAAAAUUUAAUAAUUUUUAUUAAAUUCUUCAUUCCUCACGGCAUUUUAUUAAUAUCCCUUUAUAAUAUAUUUUACACUACGAAUAUAUAUGUUUGCAAUGUUGCCCUAUAAUUUCUCUCUAACGUAGUGUUGAAAAUUUGUAGCGGGUUAAUUUCACACUCCGUGUUUUUUUUUUAAGUUAUUAAACUUUCGAAUUUGUGUCGAAACUACACUCACCUUGAAGAUAAUAUGGUUACAUGGCAUGCCAUGUGGCGCUUGGUCAACAAAGCUAUGGUAAAGCUGAAAAGGCAAACCGAUCAUGAUUGUCUUGAAGUUGGAUUGAUUCCAUACCAUCAUACGCUUUGGCAAACAAGAAUGAUACACAUGCAUCAUGCAUGGAUGUAUAUACUAUUUGUGUUUAAGUGCGGGCUUAGGCCCUCAAAUACCACAUGGGUCCAAAUACAACCACUAAAUUUUAUUCAACAACGAAAUAACACACUAAAUUAAGUAAUUAUGUUUAUGAACUUAUGUUGGGUUUAAAAUUCUUUAUCUUUGGGAAUCUUUAACUUAAAAUUCUUUAGGUUGUGAUUGCAAUUGUCUUCAAGUUAUUAGUUUUUUUUUUUUUUUUUUUUUUUUGUUUAUUUUUUUUUAUUUUUUUUUUUUUUUUUUUUUUUUUUUUUUUUUUUUUUUUUUUUUUUUUCAAGUCAAUUGCUUAGUUUAUUUUUCGUUUAACUUGUACCUUUGAAGUUCAUAUGUUAUGUGAUAAUAGGAAAACAAUUUUUACCAAAAGAAAUUUUUAGAACUUUUAGCGGAUACGAGGGUUGAUUCAAAUUGGUAUAGACCUUUAAUUUGGUUUAAGUGUUAGGUACUUCGAUUAAUGCUUAGACUUAAACUAUUAGAUCGCCUGGCUGAUUUAGAUUGAUCGUUAGAUACACCUUGGGAGUUGGGAUCCGAUCCUAGUAUCUCCUACAUGCAUGCUUUAGGAUAGAAAGACUUAUCUUUAGCAUUUGAUAUUACUUAGUAAUAGAGCUAAAAAAUUGAUCCUCUUGAACUUGAGAUCAUUAGAUCUAGCAAUUGUUAUAUUUAUGCUUUAGGUACUACGAAUUAAAUUGUAAGUAUUAUUCGAAUUAAUUUAAUAUGAAUGUUUAAAACAUAGAGUAGUUCGUUUCAUAUAAAGGACCUAAUUUAUAAAAAGAACUUAUAUACAUUUAUCUUUGAGUUUAUAUUAUACAAAAUUAUGUGUAUUUAAAGAGAGCAUAAAAUAAAAUAAAAUAGUGUGGAUACCAUGAUGUUUAGAUAAGAUGGAAUUAAUAUGAUAAGAAUGAUAACAUUAAAUAACAUAUUAUAAGAUGUUGGUUACAUUAGGAUUUUAUAGGAUGUCAAAAGUCCGUGGGAUCNCGUGGGUUUUUUUUUUUUUUUUUUUUUUUUGGGUGGGGUGGUCACGUCCUGUUUGGGGUAAUUAUUAAAAAAAUCGGAGGCGGGGGCAAAGUUAACGCCUGUUUUAGUUUCGGGGACGGGGGCGGGGGUGGACAGUCCCGUCCCGAAACCCCCAUGGGGACUCGGUUAAUAAAUUAUACAUAUAUUAGUUAUAUAAAUAUAAUAAACAAUAAUAUGAUUUUAAACUUCAAAAAUUCAACAAAAAACAUGUUUUUAAGUUGUUAGUACAAUGUUUUUUAAGAUGUCAUAACUUUUUUAUUUUUAACAUAUAAAAUCCUAUUAUAAAUAAUUAUUUGUUACCNNNNNNNNNNNNNNNNNNNNNNNNNNNNNNNNNNNNNNNNNNNNNNNNNNNNNNNNNNNNNNNNNNNNNNNNNNNNNNNNNNNNNNNNNNNNNNNNNNNNNNNNNNNNNNNNNNNNNNNNNNNNNNNNNNNNNNNNNNNNNNNNNNNNNNNNNNNNNNNNNNNNNNNNNNNNNNNNNNNNNNNNNNNNNNNNNNNNNNNNNNNNNNNNNNNNNNNNNNNNNNNNNNNNNNNNNNNNNNNNNNNNNNNNNNNNNNNNNNNNNNNNNNNNNNNNNNNNNNNNNNNNNNNNNNNNNNNNNNNNNNNNNNNNNNNNNNNNNNNNNNNNNNNNNNNNNNNNNNNNNNNNNNNNNNNNNNNNNNNNNNNNNNNNNNNNNNNNNNNNNNNNNNNNGUUAUGAGUUGCAUUUUUGAAAAACAAAAGUAAUUUAUUUUAUAAAUAUAGAUUUAACAAAUAACAAACUUAGUAGGAUAUGUUAAAAACAGAAAGAAAUGGAUAAACUUUUGGAUAAAAUGAAACCUGAUUUUGGUUUAUUAAAUAAAUAUGUUCUAAAAUGAAAAUCAAUAAAAAUAUAGGGAGUGGUAACAAUCCUUGCAUAUUGCCGUCUAGAAUUUCUUUAGUUUUUUUAUAACAUAUAGGCUUAGCAUGUAUAGCACAAAAAAUAUAGGUAGUGGUAGUGUUUGAUUUUAAAUAGGUUUUAUUUUGAAAAAGAAAAAAAAAACCACUAGUUUUGUAGUCAAAAGAUAAAGAGGCAAUAACAACCCAAUAAUCUUUCUCUCUCUUCUCGCUGAGUCCAUAACAACCCAUAGCUAGUGUAACGCCCGUGUUUCUGGGCUAAAACAUUAAUAAUUGUGUAAUAGUCUAGGUUAACCUUUGUAACUCAUUUCGAAAUAAUAAAUAAGAAUUAUGUUAGUAUUACGUGAAUUAUGUGCUUAUUUGCUUAAUUAUUAUGAUUUAAUUAAUUAAUAAUAAAAAUAAGCGUUGAAAAUGAAUAUUAGAUAAAGCCGAUAUGUUUACAUAAAGUUGUAAUGUUCGAAACAAUGAUUCCAGAGAUAUAAAGAACGCCGAAAUCCGAGUUAUAACGAAGAAGUUAUGACCUGUCGAAGUUUCGCGACAGAACCGACACGACACCAAGAAGCGUAAAAAGUGAAUUUACGAUAAAGUGCUUUUUAGCCUUAGCAAUCUUAACAAAAGUCAUAGUAUUCGUUAAACCGAGAAUUUUGAUAAAAAAAAAACGUCCAAAUCUGACUUCGUAUGAGGAAGUUAUGAUUUUUUCUAAGUUUCAGCUUAGCAUUUGACAGCUAAAAACUCGAAUUUUAGAUUGAUUGAUUUUUAGCCGACACAACCUAAACGAGAAACGAAGGUCUCGUCAAUAGUAGUAUAACGGUAAAAAGAUUGACGAAAACGAACGUCGGAUGAAGAAGUUAUUAUUUUUUAACGGAUUUUCAUGUCCCGGUGUUAAAAAUAAUAAUAUUUAAAAAAAUAAAUUCAAAAAUUAGCCGACAAAGUCUAAACGAAAGUUGUAGAAUAUAUUCCCGUCUAUGUGUGCAUAUAAAGAACGUAAAAAACGGAGCCCGUAUGAGAAAGUUAUGGAUUUUAGAAGAUUUGGGUGCAAUUUCCGAGAAAUUCGCAUGGAUUGGAGCAGGCCACGUCACCCUCGCCUCGCUGCUGACCCGUGUCCGAAGCAGCUGCGUCAUCCGAGUCGCGGUCCAGUCCGAGACCGAUGCGUGUCGCAUAUGUGGCCUGUCCGAAGCGAGCCACGUCUCGCCUACCAGUCUUCGACACGCCCUUCGCAUCCGAGCCACGUUCGAGCCUCGCACGAGCAACGUGGCCUUCACACCUGUUGCCACCUGCCCUCAUUGCUGCCACGCACUUCGCCCCCUCGCUACCGCAUGUCCCUUCUCGGCCGAACCUCCGGAUCUCCCCCCUAUAUAUAGAAGGCUUGCGACCCUUCCCGGGUACUUUUGGAAAAUUGGCACUUUUCACCCCUAAACUUAUAUUUUGACUAUUUUGACUUCCCUCGAAGCCCCAGUAUCAUUUCCAACACCCGAAACACAUCCCGAAGUGCCCGAAGACCUGGAAAAAUUUACAUUUUCGGUUUUGAAGCUCCAACCUCACAGAGCCCGGUUUUUCAUUAAAGCCCCCGAUUUUAUCAGAAACGAUCAUUUUAAGAAACGAAGUGCUGCCCGAUUAUCAUCAAAUCAAGUGAGUGUAUAGUCACUUUCAUCUUACACAUAGAUAUGAAGUAUUUUAUAUAAAUACGUGUUAUGUGUAUAUAUAUAUUGAUUGUUUAUUUGAGAUGGUUGUUGAAUGAAUGUUUUAAGGUGCUAAUAAACAAGUUCAAGCUGUCUAACAACUUUGAUCCCAAAUAUUUUUCUUUUUGUUAAAUUUGUUCAUAGUUUUCCUCUAUGCACAAAUUUAGGGGGAGAACUAAAAAAAAUUCAAAAAUCAAACAAAAAUUCAGAUAAUUAAAAUCCUAAAAUAGUGUUAUUUCUGCUUUAUUUCUUUUCCAGAAAAUAUGAAAAAUCCAAAAAUAUUUUUUGUGUGCUAAGUUUUCCUUUAGUUUUGUUUUGUCUUGAAAAGUGAUUUCAGGCGUAGAUGAGACUCGUAGAGACUGUAUCGAGAUUUUUGAGCCAAAGCUUCAUCUGUGAUCAUCGAAGAAUUCUCAUUCGAAGGAGCAAGAAAUGAAGAUUAUUCUUUCGACAUUCAAUCCUUCAACCCUAGAAGCAAGGUGAAGUUGACUUCAAGAUUAUGUUUCGGAUUGCAUUGAAGCCUCCUCAAUCAGUCUGCUGCUAUCUUUGUACCUGCUGAAGUGAUCCAGAAGAUUAUUUCUCUUUGUUAGUUCUUUCUGAAGAUUCUCAAGCUGAAAGCACUAUCUUUCAAGAAUCAGUACAUGAAGCUUCCUCACCCAAUGCGUGUUCAAUGUCAAAUUUUGAAGAUAAGCCCAACUACUCCAGAUGAAGUCAUUCAUUGAAGAUUCUUCAAGUUCAUCUUGAAGUUGUGAAGAAUUUGAAGAUAAAUGUUGAAGCCAAGCUCACAAUAAAGAUUAACAAGAAAAGCCAGCUACCAUUUUAGGGGAAUCUUGUUGGGUCAUGUAGAAAAGAAAGCUAUAAACCAAGGGGGAGAUUGUUAGGUCAAAAAUAUGGUUUAUACUUUGUUUUUCUAAGCAUUUAUUGUAUUUAUUAUUUGGGGCGAAAAUAGUAUUAUAUUAUUUGUAUUUUGGGCUUGGCCUUAGGUCCAUAUAUAUAGGGUGAGGAGUGCAUGUGGGAAUGAUAGCCAAGGAGCUUAGGUGUGUGGAUUCUAAGGUGUGAAAGAAAAUAUAGUGAAAAGAGUGUGUGUGAAAUAUGUGUAUGGAGCUUCACUCAUUUCAUUGAAUACAUCAUAUAUUCUUCUUCUUCUUCUUCUUCUUCUUCUUCUUCUUCUUCUUCUUCUUCUUCUUCUUCUUCUUCUUCUUCUUCUUCUCCUUCUCUUCUAUUUUGAUAUGAAAUCAUCCAAUUAAUUGGAAUUCCGCACCAUCAAUUGGAUCUGAUUGAUAUACAAGCAGCUUUGGGGACUUACAUGCCUCCAUUUCAGGGGAAUGUUUUAGCUUCAAACCCCACUACCUUCGAUAGUGCCAAGCAAUUGUCACAACGGCUCACCGAUUAUGGAGUCUGCACACCAACAACGACAACAACCUUUACUAUCCCAGAACCAUCCAAAACCGCCGACAACAAGCGGAAGUUUUGGGGCGAGAAGAAAAGAAACGUCGCACAAAACUCUGCCAAGAAGCAGCAAAUUGUGGUGGUUUAUGCCGUGAUAACACCUGCCGCCAUUGCGCCGACGAAACAGUAUGCUGGAAGCCUGCCAAAGUGCAACAAGUGCAACCUCCACCACAUCGGACCCGCAGGGAAAUGCAGUGUGCAAACUGCAACAAGAAGGGGCAUACUGGCCGUUUCUGCAAAUCCCCGGCUAGACCAAUCACCCAGGUCCCUGGCAUUGGAGUGGGCUAGGCUUGCUACGGAUGUGUCGAGGUUGGUCACUACAAGAGGAACUGGCCAAAGGUAGGAAAUGCUGGCGGAGUGGAUAGGGUUUUGACGAUAAGUCACGAGGAAGCGGUAGCAGACCCUAUAGUGGUCACUGGUACGUUUCUCCUCGAUAACUCAUAUGCAUUCAUACUAUUUGAUAAUGGAGCGGAGAGGAGUUUUGUGAGCAAAAAAUUUGCACACUUACUUAAACAAGAAUCACGAGCACUAAAAGAACCGUUCACCGUAGAAAUGGCUAAUGGAAAGACAGAGAGCACUAACUGUAUAUACAUAGGAUGUACCCUAUCUCUAGAUAACCAUACGUUUCUAAUCAACCUCAUGCCAGUCCCAAUUAAAAGUUUCGACAUCAUUAUUGGCAUGGAUUGGUUAAGUCUACAUCGAGCUAACAUCAUGUGCUUUGUGAAAGCUGAUUGUCUUAAUCUGUCGUCUAACGAAACUCUAGUUAUCUAUGGAGACAAACCAGUCAUGAACCUUCGAAUCAUUUCAAGUAUACAAGCCCUGAAGUACUUACUAAAUGAAUGUUAUGCAUUCCUUUCACAUGUAGUUGAUAUGAGCCAAGAGACGAAGGACAUAAAUAACAUCCUUGAAAUACGCAACUUUCCUGACAUCUUUCCAGAAGAACUGCCAGGAUUACCACCGCAACAUCAAGUCAAGUUCCGAAUCGACUUAAUCCCAGGAGCUACCCCAGUAACCAAAUCGCCUUAUUGUCUAGCUCCAAUAGAGAUGCAGGAACUUUCCUGUCAACUUAACGAACUCCUCAGUAAAGGAUUUAUUAGACAAAGCUUCUCACCAUAGGGAGCACCGGUGUAACGCCUGUGUUUCCGGGCUUGCCAUUUUUAGCAAUGUAAUGGUCUAGGUUAACCUUUGUAACCCGUUUUGAAAUAAUAAGAUUGUAUUAUUUGAGUAUUAUGUGUUUUGUGCUUAAUUGCUUAAUUAUGUGGUUUGAUUAAUUAAGAAUAAAAAUAAGCGUCAAAAUUUAAGUCUAAAAUAAACUUAAUAUAUUUGAUUUAUGUUGUAGUAGUUGAAACGAGGUUUCCGAAUUUAUAUAGAACGCCCAAAUCUGACUCCGUAUGAGGAAGUUAUGAUUUAUCGAAGUUUCGGCUUAGCGGUAUGCAGCCUGUUUUACUCGAUUUGAGAUCGAACGGUUUUUAGCCGAAGCAAUCUAAAUGAGAAUCGAAGAUCUCAUUGUUGGUAUCGAAGCGAUAAAAAGUUAGGCGAGAACGGACGUCAAACGAAGAAGUUAUGAAUUUAUAACGAAAGUUUCUGUCGCGGCCUAUUAAAAAUAAUUAAUAAAAAUAAAGUCAAAAUUAGCCGACGGAGUCUAAACGAAAGUUGUAGAGCGUGGUCUCACCUUCGCGUGGAUAUAAAGAACGUCGAAAACGGAGUUCGUAUGAAGAAGUUAUGAAUUUCCGAAGUUUAUUAAUCAUUUUAUAUUUAUUUUUAAUUCAAAAUCGGAAGCAUUAUCCGAAGCCGAGUCACCGGUGUGAUCCGGAGUACGCCCCGCGUACGAGGUUACGCUACCGCGUACUCAGCAUAGUGUCGACACUUCGGAUGACGCAUGCAGUGACGAUUUCGGACGCGUACGCGCUGCGUACGCCUGUACGCCCCGCGUACUCCGAGGCUCCAGCCUCUAUAAAAGGAAUCCGAAGGCAGCCGAGUCAUUUGCUAAUUUCCUCUCGUUUUUGUGCCGAAGCUCUGCGCGUAAACCCCCGAAGCUACCCCGAAGCCCCGGUAUCAUACUCUAGCCCCGAGGCAAGUCCCGAGAUCCCGAAGAUCCCGAGAAGUGCGGUUCCCGAGUCGAAGCUCUGCCCGCGAGAAGUUCGAUUUUCGAGGAGAUCUUCCAGAUCUGCUGAGGAUUACUACUUCUGCAAGUCGUAGUGCUGUCCGAUCAUCUUCUGAUCAAGUGAGUGUAUACUAACUUUCAUAAACACGAUAAUAAUACAAGUUUGGUUCGAGUGUAUUAAGUAUAUUGUUGUUUAUAGGUGUGAGUGUGUAGUUACCUUCUUCUAACACAGAAAUAUUAAGUAUUUUCUAUAAAAUAUGUGCUAUGUGUAUAGUAUAUUGUUGUUUAUAUGUGUGAAUGUGUAUUCACUCUCUUCUGUCUCAUAGAUAUGAUUUAUUCUUUAUAAGAUAUGUGCUAUGUGUGUGANAUGUGUUGAUUAAAGCAUGCUAUACAGGUUUUCUUUAAACUAUGUAUACAAAUGUAUAUUUUUAUCUACUAAUAUGUUGGGUAGAACAUGGGUAGACAGUUGGUGUGUAAUAAACAGAUGAGAGGCCUCGUUGUUGUUUGAUUGAGUCAUCUAGCGGAGUUUAGAUGACGACCACUGGCUAUUCUAGACAGUCUUGUGGAAACAUUAGCAGGUUCGCCACCUGUAGGUGUUAAUGAACUUGGGUGUUCAUUCGCUGUACUCCAUCCCCCUCAUGGUUGCCUUAUUUGACUUAUAUUGCUGAGGUACCCCCGAAGCAUGUGUUGUCGCCCCGAGGAAAUAUUCUUAGACUAGGUCCCUUAUGAUUAGUUGUAUUAGGGACAUUAAAGUGAGAAUAACGGGAAUGGGUAAUUGGGUUAUUGUUGGUUGGUGAAAAUUAAAUAUGAUAUUUAUUGUGGGUUGAAAACUCUAUAUGCUCACCAAGCUCCAAAGCCUGACCCACUCAGUUUUAAUUGUAUUACAGGAAGUGGCGGAAGGGCAUGAGAUGGAUGAACCAUCAAGUUGUUUUGUUUACAAGUCUGCAUAUGUUUAUAUUUGUUAUAUGACUUGUAAUGUAUUUGUUUAUGCUUAUUGGUCUGUAUCGGAACAUGACACCCCGGGUUUUGAUUAUAAUGAAAACACAUUUUUUUAUGAAAUGCUUCGGUAAACAUUGCUUUAUCAUGUUUUGUUUUUGGGAACAAAUUCCGCAACUCUUUCAAAUCAAAAGGAUUUACUCUGAAAAUAUUUAAAAGCAUAAAUGAAAAUCGGUCUUUUCUGGCCGAGAUUUUGGGGAUGUCACAACCGGUCUUGUUCGUGAAGAAGAAAGAUGGAUCGUUUCGUAUGUGCAUCGACUAUCGAGAAAUGAACAAACUUACCGUUACGAAUCGUUACCCACUACCUCGCAUAGAUGACAUAUUUGAUCAACUACAAGGGGCGAACUACUUUUCGAAGAUUGACUUAUGAUACGGGUACCAUCAAUUGCGAGUGUUAGAGGAGGAUGUUCCUAAGACAACCUACCGAACUCGUUAUGGUCACUACGAGUUCAUAGUGAUGCCCUUUGGAUUAACUAAUGCACCGGCGAUAUUCAUGGAUUUAAUAAAUAGGGUGUGCCGUCCUUACUUAGAUAAAUUUGUGAUAGUAUUUAUUGAUGACAUACUUAUCCACUCACGCAGUAAGGAGGAACAUAGUUAACACUUGCGACUGAUUCUAGAAACACUGCGAGUAGAGAAACUUUACGUGAAGUUCUCUAAAUCUGAAUUUUGGAUUUGAAGAGUCAAAUUUUUAGGUCACGUUGUUAGCGAAGAAGGUAUUCACAUGGACCCUUCCAAAAUCAAAUCCAUUGAGAACUGGUCAGCACCCAUGAUGCCUACCGAGAUUCGUCAAUUCUUAGGCCUCGCUGGAUACUAUCGUAGGUUUAUUCAUAACUUUUCAAGAAUCGUGAAGCCACUUAUGAAUUUGACCCAGAAAGGUGUAACCUUCGACUGGGAAGAGAAACAAGAAAGAGCAUUCCAAACGCUGAAGCAAUCCUUAUGCACCGUACCGAUAUUAUCCCUCCCGAAAGGGAUAAAAGAUUUCAUAGUGUAUUGCGAUGCAUCUAACCAAGGGUUUGGUUGUGUUCUUAUGCAAUGAUGAAAGGUCAUCGCCUAUGCCUCACGCCAGCUAAAGACACACAAAGUCAACUACACCACACAUGAUCUUGAGUUAGGAGCAGUAAUAUUUUCUCUGAAGAUCUGGAGACACUACCUGUAUGGUACGAAAAGCACUAUCUUUACAGAUCACAAAAGCCUUCAACACAUUUUCGACCAGAAGGAGCUCAACAGGAGACAAAGACGGUGGGUCGAGCUACUCAAUGACUACGAAUGUGAAAUUCGUUAUCAUCCGGGAAAAACCAAUGUACUAGCUGACACCCUAAGUCAGAAGGAGUACUCGGGUCGAAGGGUUAAAUCAUUGACUAUAAAAAUCUAUUCACACCUGUCCACACAAAUUAAGGAGGCUCAACAGGAAGCCUUGAAACCUGAAAAUGUGGCGGGUGAAUCCCUUAGAGGGAUGGAUAAGAACCUAGAAGGCAAGAGUGACAGCGUCUUAUACCUCAUGGAUCGCAUUUGGACACCGAAGUUCGGUGGAUUUAAAGAUGUUAUCAUGAGAGAAGCACAUAAUACAUGAUAUUUCGUUCACCCAGGUUCAGGUAAGAUGUAUCUGGAUCUCAAAAAGUUAUACUAGUGGCCUAACAUGAAAGUAGAGAUUGCUACCUUCGUGAGUAAGUGUCUUACUUGUGCCAAGGUUACGAUUGAAUACCAGAAACCCUCAGGUCUACUACAACAACUAGAGAUACCUAAGUGGAAGUGGGAGCGGAACACUAUAGACUUCAUAACCAACUUGCCCAAGACAACAGGUGGACUUGAUACCAUUUGGGUGAUCGUAGAUAGAAUGACCAAGUCCGCGCACUUCCUACCUAUCAAGGAGACUGAAAAAAUGGAGAAACUAACCAGAACUUACUUAAGAGAAAUAAUGCGACAUCAUGGUGUACACAUAUCUAUUAUAUCCUAUAAAGACAAUAGAUUCACUUCGAGGUUCUGGGGGUCACUACAGAAAGCACUAGGAACUAGGUUGGACAUGAGUACAGCCUACCAUCCAUAGAUAGACGAACACAGUGAGAGGACUAUUC